rnacentral:lncRNA from 1 species
UUUUGUGUUGACCCUAUUCUCAGGUGAUUCGCUUGUACACUCCAUUGCUAAACUCAAAACAGAUGAUGCACAUGACUGCUUUGCAACAUUAGCGUGUUCUUCAUCUUCACUCAGUAGAAUUGCAUCCAUGAUAUUCAUCACCGCAGGUAACGAGUCGUUAACCUAACGCUUUAUGCUCAUUUCUCCAGUAAAAAAUUCGUUUGUGGGUUUCAUUCCUGUAAAUACUUCCAUCAACAUAAUCCCAUAGCUGUACACAUCACCUUUUAUUGACACUUGUCCUUCUCUUCCAUACUCUAUAGAUUGCAUAAAUUAAAACAUCAGCAUUCAAUAAUAUUCUGCCAAGAAGAUAAUGAAAAACCAAUACUAAUAUAGUUUAAAAUUAACAAAUAUGAAGCUUAGAACAAACCUGGUGCCAUGUAACCUAUCGUGGCGAGUGUUCGUGUUUGUUUCAUAGAGUCUUCUUCACUUAAGAGCUUUGCAAUCCCAAAAUCACUUAAAUGUGCAACCAUGUUCUCGUCCAACAAUACGUUGCUAGGCUUCACGUCGCAAUGAACAAUAGGAUUGGAAUGACCAAAGUGGAGAUAUUCUAAAGCUGAUGCAACAUCUAUCAUUAUGCCCAAUCUCUGAAAAAUAUCCAAAUUAAAAUUGCUAGCGUACAAACAAUCCUCCACACUCCCAUUCGGCAUGUACUCUAGUACCAAUGCUUUGAAAUUAUGAUUUGUACAACUGCUGAUAAUUUUGACCAAGUUUCUAUGGCGAAUAGUUUUUAAUAUUUCACAUUCCGCAUCGAAACUAUUUAAUGCUCCUUCCCGUUGUAAGUGAAAUACCUUUAUUGCAACCUCAAUCCCAUCUGGAAACCUGCCUUUAUAAACCGAGCCAUAAUUUCCAAUCCCAAUGAGGUUUUCUUCACUAAAUUGAUCUGUUGCUCGCAAAAGCUCAUCAUGUGAGUAUCUUCUCCACAUCACUUGUGGUGACAUAUCAGCUUUAAUAUGUGAAACUUCUGUGCUUAUUCUUUUACGACAUCUGGUGAUCAAUCCAAAUGUAAGAGCCAGUAGGACCGUAACAAUGAACACAGUGCUCAAAGGCAAAACAACUCCUAGGAGAAUAACUUGUUUCCUUGAUUUUUUAUGAGGGCUACUUUUGCAUAGUGGAACGUGCAGAUAGGGUGAACCACACAACAAAUCAUUUCCUAUAAAUGAUUCAGCUGAGAAGUUUGCAAAAGCUCCUCCUCUGGGAAUCUCCCCUACUAGUUUGUUGGAAGAGAGAUUUAGACUUUUGAGGUACAAGAGUUUCUCCAAAGAUGCAGAAAUAACACCCGAAAGAUCGUUAUUAGAUAAAUCCAAGAAUUCCAAGCUGACCAACUCACCAAAAGAUUCUGGAAUAGGACCUUGUAGUUUAUUGUGUUCCAAGGAAAGGUGUUGCAGAUUUUUUAGGCCUACAAUUGUGGAUGGGAUAUUCCCCGAUAAAUGAUUCCUUGACAAAUAUAUGUCUACCACAGCUUUCAGAUUUCCAAUCUCCAAUGGAAGAGACCCAUUUAAAGAAUUUGAUGAAAAGUCGAAGCCCAGUAUAUCUUCAAGGUUCCAAAAAGUUGAAGGUAUGACAGAAGUUAACUCAUUUGAACCCAGAGAGAGUAUCCGUAGAGAGUUCAAAUCACCUAAGCAUGAAGGGAUUGAUCCUGAAAGCUUGUUACGGUUCAAGUAAAUCACAUAGAGUCUAGAGAAGUGGCAAAACUCCUGUGGGAUUGGUCCUUCAAAUUGAUUAUAAAUGAUACUCAAAUUUUAUUAAAGAAAUAAAAGACAGAGAAUCACGAGAUCAAUUACUUGAUGAAGCAAUAUAUGGGUGGACUUAGACAUCCUCGAGAAUAUUCUUUUUUAAUUAAAACAAAAGGAUCAUCCCACCCAUCAAAAUCAUUAGGUACAUGACAAAAUUAAUAAAACUACGAGUAAAAUUACCCUCGCGAUGGAUGUGUGAUCAAUAAAAAUACAUGCCUGUUAGAGUGCAAUUUAUGCACUAGUUUUGCAUUGUUUACUUCCCUUAAUAUCGAUAUUUUGCACUUAAUAAUAAUGAUUUACUUGUGUUUUACUUUUGUAGGUGCAAUUCUAUUGAUUUGUGAUAAAAUUGAGCUAUAAGAUGAAGUUUAAAGAUGAUUGUUCUCUUGGAGAAAUUAUGAGCGUCAGAAGAACUUUGUUGAUAAGGCGUGGGCGCGUGCUGUCAACUACGGACCUGCAGUUUUUAGUUUAACGUGUUUUGUAUUUUUGGUUAUUUUUGUAAUUACGAAUUUAAUAUUUCAGAUAUUAGUAUUUUAUUUUAAAUAGAAUUCUAAAGGAGAAGAGAGAGAGAGUAUUUAAGAGAGGAAUCUAUUGUGAAAAAGGGGGACUUUUGGAGAGAAAAAAAAAACCCUAGAUCUAAACUUUUCUCUUCUCUCUAUGAAGAACUAAACCUAUUUUUCUGGUUGAAGGUUAAUGCAGUUUUGAUUCAUCACUACUGUGAGAUCUUUCUUGUGCUUUAAUUGUUUUAUUGCUUUUUGGGUAUUUGUUUAUUCUCUGAAUUAUUUUCAUGAUUAUGUUUGUUAAUUAGGUAAUUGGCCGCUAUUUAAUUAUCAACUUAAUCUAUUGUCAAUUAAAGGAUUCAUCGUAUGAAGAAUUUAAUGUUUGUGACAAAUAACAUAGCAGAGAGUUGUGUUGUGAGAAUAAACAAUCUAAUUUAAAUGAAUCAUCAUGUGUUGAUUAGGAUUUGGGUCUCUCUGGUUUUUCAGGCUGUCAAUUGAUUAAAUCCUAUGAUCGUAUCUAGGGCUGUCUAUUGAUUAGGGAAAUAACCAACGGUCGUACCUUGGUUAUCGACUAGUUAAGGAGAGAUUGGCUAUUAGAGGGUAUCAGUAGCUAUAACCGGUCUAUUCAUAAGUAAUAAUAAUCUAUAUUUGAAUCAAUGAUCAGUAGUCGAAUCAAGCUGAGUUAAUUCCUUCAACCAGAGCUUUCUCUAAUUUGAAUUACAACUUUAAUUUGCAUUCUUGUUAUUUUAAUUUGAUUUUUAUUAUUGUCAACAAUUCCCUCAUUUUACGUUUUACGUUUCAAAAGGAUUUAAAUAAUUACCAAUCUCUGUGGACACGACCCUACUCAAUCACUAUACACAAUUUAUUUAGAGUAGGAAUUUAUUUUUGUUGGCUUCGACAACCAUCAAAUUUUGGCACUGUUGCCGGGGAUUGGUGUCUUUUAUUUAAUCCUUUUUAUGUUUUACUUGGCGUAUGGUUCGUUCUUCUCGUACAGGUACACUUUCGUUUGAUCCUGAAAUUGAAAAGACAGCUCGCCAGCUGAGACAGCAGACGAAGCGAGCUAAGCAACGAUCCUCGUCGCCUUUGCUUUCUGAAACAGAUACGGUGCCUGAUUUAGUUCAAUCAUCUAGCGAUUCGGAAGAACAAGUGAUGGAUAGAGCUGCACCUGUAGAAAGAACUCUUAGAGAGUUAGCUGAACCAGACUUGAAUCAGCAACCACUCUGCAUUCAAUAUGUAGACUUGGAGGUAAAUUUUGAAUUAAAGUAUGGUCUUAUUCAUUUAUUACCCAAGUUUCAUGGUUUUACAGGUGAAGAUCCUCAUAAACAUCUUAAGGAGUUUCAUGUUGUAUGUUCAAGUAUGAGGCCACAAGGCGUGACUGAAGAGCAUAUUAAGCUGCGUGCUUUUUCGUUCUCUGUAGAUGGGCUAGCUAAAGACUGGUUGUACUACUUGCCUCAUGGAUCGAUUACAACGUGGAAUGGUUUGAAGAGGCAGUUCCUCGAGAAGUACUUUCCUGCUUCAAGAGCUGCCAACAUCAGAAAAUAUAUUUGUGGGAUCAGACAACUUCCUGGGGAGACUUUGUAUGAGUAUUGGGAGCGAUUCAAACAAUUAUGUGCCAGCUGUCCUCAACAUCAGAUUUCUGAUCAACUUCUUAUUCAAUAUUUUUACGAAGGACUGUCAUUAAUGGAUAGGAGUAUGAUAGAUGCUGCUAGUGGAGGCGUGUUGGUGAACAAGACCCCUACUCAAGCAAGGGAGCUGAUAUCAAAUAUGACUGCCAACGCACAACAAUUUGGCAGCAUGUAAGAUCUCACUUCAAGGAAGGUUAAUGAGGUAAAUAUUUCUUCUGUUGAACAACAUUUAGAUAAACUUACUUCUCUUGUGGAAAAGUUUGUUGUAGGUAAUGUGCAACAGGUGAAGACUUGUGGCAUUUGUUACAAUAUGGGUCAUUCAACUGAUAUGUGUCCUACACUUCAAGAAGAACCCGUUGAACAAGCCAAUGCAGUUGGAGGAUUUCGAGGCAUGCCUCAGAGGAGGUAUGAUCCUUAUGCACAAAUAUACAAUCCGGGAUGGAAGGAUCACCCCAACUUCAGCUAUGGAGUUAGGCCGUCAGGAUUCCCACAACAGUAUCCACCAAGACAACCAGCACCUCCACAAUCAAACUCUAAGUCAGGUAUAUCUCUUGAAGAAAUUGUUAAAUCACUUGCGACUAACACUCAACAAUGUCAGCAAGCAACUACAGCAAGCAUUCAGAACUUGGAGAACCAAAUGAGUCAAUUGGCAACUACAGUGAGCCGUCUGGAGUCUCAAGUAUUAGAUAAAUUGCCUUCACAAUCUGAGGUGAAUCCAAAGCAAAACGUUAGUGCUGUCAUCCUUAGAAGUGGGAAUGAGUUGCAAGAGCCUAAUAAGAAAGUGACAAAGCAUGUAGAAGAUGAGCUUGAGAAGAAUGAAUUGAUGCCUAAAUCUCAAGAUGCGCAACCCACCAGAGCGAAACCCCUACCUAUUGUGAUACCUCCUCCUUUUCCAAGCCGGUUUGCAAAAUCCAAGAAGGAGGAACAAGAGAAAGACAUCCUUGAGACAUUUCGCAAGGUUGAGGUAAAUAUUCCUUUAUUAGAUGCUAUAAAACAAAUACCUCGAUAUGCUAAAGUCCUUAAGGAACUGUGCACCUCUAAGAGAAAAUUAAGAGGAGAUGAAAAAGUUCACAUGGGGGAGAAUGUUUCAGCAGUUCUCCAAAAGAAACUAUCUCCUAAGUGCAAGGAUCCAGGUAUGUUUACUAUCCCUUGUAAAAUUGGUAAUGUUAGAAUUGAAAAGGCUUUGUUAGAUCUAGGAGCUUCUAUUAAUGUCAUGCCUCGUUCCAUUUAUUCAUCUUUGAAUGUUGGUCCAUUAAAAGAAACUGGCGUGAUAAUUCAACUAGCUGAUAGGUCUAAUGCAUAUCCUGAUGGGGUAUUAGAAGAUGUCUUAGUACAAGUUAAUGAGUUGGUUUUUCCUGCUGACUUUUAUGUACUUGAUAUGGAAGAGGAUAACUCUUCUAAUUUUGUCCCAAUUUUGCUAGGAAUACCUUUUCUUAAGACUGCUAGGACUAAAAGGGAUGUACAUAAAGGGACUCUCACUAUGGAGUUUGAUGGAGAGGUUAUAGAAUUCAAUAUGAAUGAUGCCAUGAAAUAUCCUAGUAAGGAACAUUCGGUAUUUUCUGUGGAUGUUAUUAACCCUAUAGUGCAGGAAGUUAUUUACAAGGAAAAAACGAAGACAUUUCAUGAUAGAAUGAUUUUGAGAAAGGAGUUCUCUGUUGGUCAAAAAGUUCUUCUUUUUCAUUCUAAGCUUAAACUUUUUCCGGGUAAAUUACGUUCUUGCUGGGUUGGACCUUUUAUUGUUACUAAUGUUUUUCCUCAUGGUGCAGUUGAGAUUCGGAGUCCGACCUCUGACAAAAUUUUUAAGGUUAAUGGUCAUCGCUUAAAACCUUUUUAUGAAGGUUUUUCGGUGAAUAUUGUGGAGGAUGUGGCUCUCGAGAGUCCCAAUUAUGGAGAUUGAUGCAUAAAUGUGUCUAGCCAAAGACAUAAAACAAAAGCGCUUUUUGGGAGGCAACCCAAAUGAUUUAUUUAUUUUGGUUUUUGUUAUAUCUUCUUUUAAUUUUGAUUCUUUUUUUUUUUAAUGUGUUUGCUUAUUUUGGUCAGAAGAAAAUUUUUGAUAAGGCGUGCCCACGUCUUAACUAAUAAGUACUUCUGUGAUUUUUAAAGUAAAAUGGUUUUAAGGCGUGCCCACGUGCUUUGUUGAGUGUUAGAAAAUGCAUAUUUAUAAAGGAGAAAACUGUCAUUUUACAUUUCAAGUCUUAUUAACAACCCUUACUUUUAUGUAUUUAACCUUCUUGUGAUUUAAUUACAUGUGUUUUAUUUUAAUCAAGUAUUUUAUGUAUUUUAGGGGCAUUAUAGUCAUUUCACAAUAAAGGAGAGAUCAGAUGGCAAAACGGACAUCACUUUUGAACUCAGGACGGUCGAAAACCUUAGGAGGGGCAUAAAAGGAAAAAUGGCACUAUUCACAUGUACGGUACUAUUCACGUAUACGGUACUGUAUAUGUUACUGUUCACGGCACUGUUCACAUAGACGGAUCGAUGACGUGGCAUUGACCGAUGAUGUGGCAUUGACUGAUGAGGUGUCACGAUCAUGUUGGACUAAAAUUCUUAUGUACUGUUGAUGGUGACGUGGCAGCAUAUCAGUGGACGAAAAAUCUCGCGUACGGUGCAUGCAUCACACAGGAUUAUUUUCAACCAAACCGUGUUACUGUUCAUCCGGGUCAAACCGUGUUACUGUUCAUCCGCGUGGUCAAACCGUGGACUGUUGACUGAUGACGUGGCGCAAUCCUGAGCGUCCAAACUGUUUUUAAUCCGAUGGCCAUGAUUUACUCCAUGUAUCUAUAAAAAGGGGGCCUCCCCCCCCUAAUUUGAUAGCUCUGAAUCCAUUUUUGGGAUCCAUUUUCUGUAAUUCCUUCUCCAUCUUGUAUUUUCUUCGUAUUUUAAUAAAUUCCCAUUUUGCCCCUAGUUCAAUUAUGAGUAGCUAAUUUCCUUUCAAGCUUGGGUUGAAGGUGAAGUCUCAACAUGUGUCAUGGGCUUUAUUUGGUAAAUUUAUUUUCUUUUCCCCUCUAGUUUUUGUGGAUGAUUUGACUUAUCGUCGAUAAAUAAUACUGAUCUUGUAUAGAUACCGCCUUGGUUACACCGGCUCUCUAGUAUAAGGUUAUUAUUAUUUGGCACGAUAAGCCCUUAGCACCAUAUUGAUUAGAGUGUGGUUCAUGAGGUGUGGAUUCCCCCCUCAUGAUUUAAUUGGCAUUAAUACGGAUUAUUUAGCCCAUGAUGCAUGUUGAUACGGAUCCAGAUACCCAAGUACGUCAAUUUAAUCGAUUUUCUCUACAAUUUAUUCUCGCCAUUGCAAUUCCAAUUUUAGCAUAUUUAUUAUCGUCAUUUCAAUUCCAAUUUUAGCAUAUUUUAAAUCACUUCCACCACAAUUCUAGCCACCCAUUUACAAAAUUAAUUCUACAUACAAUUAAAAUCCACCUCCUCGUGGGAUCGACACUCGUCACCAUUGAUCUAUACUACAAUAGAUUCGUGCGCUUGCGAGUUCAUUAAAAUUUGCACAACAAGUUUUUGGCGCCGUUGCCGGGGAGGUAAGUAAUUUUAAUUCAUAGAAUUAAUUUUUGUGAAUAAUUUCUUUUAUUUGUUUUCUUGUAUUUUUUUUAUUAAAAAAAAAAAAGAAAAAAAAAGUAAAUCUACAUUGAAAGGUUAGUAUUUCUUUUCUUUUUCUCUUCUUUAAAAUUCUGUAAUUUAAUUUUCAAUUUAUUUUUUCUUUGUAAUUUUUGUUUAUUUUAUUAAUUUAAUUUUUAGUUAAUUUAUUUCACGUAUUUGUUUUUGUGUGUUUUUAUAGAAAGGUUGUAAUAACGCAAUAAGGUUAGUAUCGUAAUUUCUCCCUCUUCUUUAUUUUUAUUUGUUUUGUUUUGCAUGCAUGGUCGUAGGUCAUUAUUACCUAAUCUUGAACCUAUAGACCUUGAAUUAGAAAAAACCACUUCGCACACAAAAGCACAUUAAAAAUAAAUUUGGAAUGGAUUUACAAGCACCACAGGAGAGGCCAUUUAAGGACUAUUUUAGUCCCUUGGCUAAUUUGAGCACAUCAUCUAUAAGAUAUCCAAAUGUAGCUGCUAGGAGUUUUGAAUUAAAACCUAGUGUGCUAAAUUGUCUCCCCACAUUUUAUGGCCUAGAAAAUGAGGACCCAUAUAAUCAUUUGAAUGAUUUUCAUGCUAUUUGUCAAACAUUUAAAUAUGAGAAUUUUUCAGACGAUGAUGUAAAACUUAGACUAUUCCCAUUUUCUUUAAAGGAUAGAGCUCGUUCAUGGUUAAAUACUUUACCUGCCAAUAGCAUUUCAUCAUGGGAACAAAUGGUAACGAAAUUUUUGAAUAAAUAUUUCCCAGUUCAUAAAACCAACGCUAUUCGCAGGGAAAUCUCGGAGUUUACUCAGAGAGAAGACGAGCAGUUUUUCGAAACAUGGGAGCGAUUCAAUGGGCUACUCUUGAAGUGUCCACAUCAUGGGUACGAAAAAUGGCACCAAUGCCAAUACUUUUUGGAGGGAUUAUUGCCGAAUGUGCAAGAAUGGCUAAUGGCAACAAGUGGAGGAGAGCUAAUGUCAAAAAGUGCAUCAGAGAUUUGGGAAUUCUUCCAGCGACAAGCGGAUAAUUCCCAACAACGGAGUCGAUCACUCAGGAAUACUAGAAGAAUUAAAGGAGUAAAUGAGGUUAACAUUGGCAAGUCAAGUUCAGAAAUCAAAGAAGUCAAGGAGAUAAUUGAAGGUCUCUCUCGACAAAUAGCAUCGUUAUCAACUGCUAAAUCAACAGAGCCACAUGACCAUGACACAUACUCAGAUCAAGCCAAUGCCAUAGGUGUAAUGAGAAAGCCAUCUAAUUACAACCCAUACUCCAACACAUAUAACCCUGGAUGGAGAGAUCACCCCAAUUUUUCAUGGUCUCAAGGAUUCCAACAGAAUGGACCAACAGCUCCAGCUCCACCACUGCAACAAAUUCCUUAAGUUCCUCAAGCCUCUCAGCCCCCAUUUAGACCAUUCAAUCAGAACCAGAACUACUCUCAACCCAGACCAUGGGAGGAUUCAUUCCAGAAUCUCAAGAAUGCUACUCACUCUACGAUUGAGCAACAGAAUCGCACCAUUGAUAGACUACGAAAUGAGUUGAGAGCAGGCUUCAACUCACAAGCCCAAUCAGUUUCAAGCCUCGAGAAGAUGGUGGGACAACUUGCUUCUUCAGUUCAGACCUUGGCAAUUACUGUUGAGAAAGGUAAAUUUCCAAGUCAACCAGUGCCUAAUCCUAAAGGAGUACAUGAAGCAAGUACCAGUUCACCACAACAGCAUGGAGAGGUCAAAGCAGUCAUGACCUUGCGAAAAGGAAAGGAAGUCGACAACAAAGUGGAGAUGCCGGUGACAAAAGAAAAUCAAAUUGUACCUGUGAAUGUUGAGGACUCACCACCGGAGGAAAAAGAAGAAACCAACCCACGAGAAUACGUUCCCAAAGCUCCAUUUCCUCAGAGGUUAGCGAAAGGAAAGAAGGGAAAAUCCACAGGUGAGAUUCUCUAAAUCUUCAAACAGGUAAGUGUUAACAUCCAUUUACUUGAUGCUAUAAAGCAAGUUCCAUCUUAUGCCAAGUUUCUUAAAGACCUUUGUACUAAAAAGAGAAAUAUGCAUGUUCAAAAGAAUGCAUUUUUAACAGAAAACGUUAGUUCUAUACUCCAACAUAAAAUUCCUUUAAAAUGCAAAGACCCAGGCUCCCCCACUAUCUCAUGUAGUAUAGGGAACCACACAAUUGAGAAUGCUUUGUUGGAUUUAGGAGCUAGUGUAAAUCUUUUGCCUUACUCUGUAUUCGUGAAACUUGGACUUGGAGAAUUACACCCAACUCCAGUGGUGUUACAGCUUGCAGAUCGGUCUACGAAAAUACCUCGUGGUAUUGUGGAGGACGUGCUUAUCCAGGUAGACAAGUUUUAUUUUCCUGUUGAUUUCAUUGUAAUUGACACUCAACCAAUACAGGAUUCAAGAAAGCACAUCCCUAUUAUUCUAGGCCGACCUUUCUUGGCAACUGCAGAUGCUCAUAUUCAAUGUAGGACCGGAAAUAUGCAAUUGUCCUUCGGCAACAUGACUAUGGAGCUAAACAUUUUCAACAUUGCCAAACAACCUCACAGUGCAGAUGAUGGAAUUGUUGAUGUGGAUUUAAUAGAAACAAUAGUUGAUAAUACAUUUCUUUCAAACCUUAGUGAUGAUCCUUUACAAACAUGUUUAACUCACUUUGGUUUGGAUUUUGAUAUUGACAGAUCGGUCGAAGAGGUCAACGCCCUACUUGACUCAGCACCAUCCAUGGACACUAAUAAAUGGAAGUCAAGAGUAGAACAACUAGCACCAUCAGAAAAGAAACUCAUCCCAUCAUCAGAAUCACCACCGAAACUCGAGCUCAAACCAUUGCCCAACACAUUGGAAUAUGCAUUUUUGGGAGAAGAAAGUACUCUACCGGUAAUCAUCUCAUCAUCCCUAAAUGACGAACAAAAAGGUAAGUUGUUGGAUGUUUUAAAAGAGCACAAAGGAGCAUUAGGAUGGACCAUAGCAGACAUAAAAGGUAUAAAUCCAGUAGACUGCAUGCAUUACAUUCACCUUGAUGAAAAUGAUAAAACUACUAAGGAGAUGCAACGUCGGUUAAAUCCUAACAUGAAAGAAGUUGUCAGAACUGAAGUCCUUAAGCUAUUAGAUGCAUGUAUCAUUUACCCAAUUUCUGAUAGUUCAUGGGUCAGUCCUGUACAAGUCGUCCCCAAAAAGUCAGGAGUCACAGUAGUUACCAAUGCUGAUAAUGAAUUGAUACCAACUAGAGUAACUACAGGAUGGCGUGUAUGCAUUGAUUAUAGAAAGUUGAAUUCUGUCACACGUAAAGACCAUUUUCCUUUACCAUUUAUCGAUCAAAUGCUUGAUAGAUUAGUAGGCCACGAAUUUUAUUGCUUUCUAGAUGGCUACUCAGGAUAUAAUCAGAUUCCCAUAGCACCAAAAGAUCAGGAGAAAACUACUUUCACUUGCCCUUUUGGCACUUUUGCAUAUAGGAGAAUGCCAUUUGGAUUAUGUAAUGCACCUGCUACAUUCCAACGAUGCAUGUUGAGCAUUUUUUCUGAUAUGGUUGAACGAUUCCUUGAAGUCUUUAUGGAUGAUUUUUCUGUCUUUGGUGACUCGUUUGAUCAAUGUUUACAUCAUCUAACGCUAGUUCUGCAGAGAUGUACUGAGAAGAACUUAGUCUUGAAUUGGGAGAAGUGUCAUUUUAUGGUAAAACAAGGUAUUGUUCUCGGUCACAUCAUUUCGAGAAAAGGUAUUGAGGUUGACAAAGCCAAGGUGGAUCUCAUUUUUAAUCUUCCUCCACCCAAAACAGUCAGAGAAGUAAGAUCUUUCCUUGGGCAUGCUGGUUUCUAUAGACGUUUCAUUAAAGAUUUUAGCAAAGUUUCUAGACCCUUAUGCAAUCUACUUGCUAAGGAUGUACCUUUUAUCUUUAAUGAUUCAUGUCUUGUGGCAUUUGAAAAAUUAAAGCAGUUGUUGACAUCAUCACCCAUCAUUCAGACCCCAAACUGGAGCUUACCAUUUGAGCUCAUGUGUGAUGCAUAUGAUUAUGCAAUAGGAGCAGUAUUAGGACAAAGAGUUGAUCGAAUUCCGCAUGUUAUUUACUAUGCUAGUAUGACAUUGAAUGAUGCACAGUUGAAUUAUUCAACUACUAAAAAAGAAAUGCUAGCAGUAGUGUUUGCAUUGGAAAAAUUUCGAUCUUAUCUCAUUGGUUGUAAAAUAAUUGUGUUCACAGAUCAUGCUGCUCUUAAAUAUCUUCUCACAAAGAAAGAUGCAAAAGCUAGACUAAUUCGUUGGGUGUUACUUUUGCAGGAAUUUGACUUGGAAUUUAAAGAUAAGAAAGGCACAGAAAAUGUUGUGGCGGACCAUCUCUCUCGUCUCCAUUUUGACACAAUUACAGAGCCAUUACCAUUAAAUGAGUCAUUCCCAGAUGAACAAUUAAUGAGUGUGGAAGUAUUACCUUGGUAUGCUGAUAUAGUUAAUUAUCUUGUUACAGGUAAACUUCCAGAGCAUUGGACCAAGCAAGACAAGGCUAAAUUCUUUGCGGAAAUAAAGAGUUUCUUUUGGGAUGACCCAUAUUUGUUCAAGUAUUGUGCAGACCAAAUUGUUAGACGAUGUGUCCCUGAAAAUGAAAUUCAGAAUAUUCUUUCAUUCUGCCAUGAACAAGCUUGUGGAGGCCAUUUCAGUGCUAAGAAAACAGCGACUAAAGUUUUACAAUGUGGUUUCUAUUGGCCAACUAUAUUUCGAGAUGCUUACACUUUUUGUUCUUCAUGUGAUAGGUGUCAACGAAUGGGGAGUAUUACACGAAGGAACAUGAUGCCACUAAAUCCAAUUUUAGUGGUUGAGAUUUUUGACGUAUGGGGUAUCGACUUCAUGGACCCUUUCCCUCUUCUUUUGGCCAUCAAUACAUAUUGGUUGGUGUUGACUACGUAUCGAAAUCGGUGGAAGCAAUUCCAUGCAGAACCAAUGAUCACAAAGUGGUGAUAGGAUUUUUGAAAAGCAACAUUGUUUCACGCUUUGGAUUCCCUCGAGCGAUAAUCAGUGAUGGUGGUGCCCACUUUUGUAACAAAGCAUUCAAGGCUCUUUUGACAAGUAUUCAAUCACACACAAAGUGGCGACCCCGUAUCAUCCGCAAACCAGUGGCCAAGUUGAGAUCUCCAAUCGAGAAAUAAAGCACAUAUUAGAAAAAACAGUGAAGCCAGACAGAAAAGAUUGGUCAUUAAGACUUGAUGAUGCAUUAUGGGCAUAUAGAACGGCUUUCAAGACCCCGAUUGGGAUGUCACCCUAUAGGCUAGUGUAUGGAAAAGCUUGCCACCUACCUGUGGAACUCGAGCAUCGGUGCGUAUUGGGCCAUCAAGAAAUUCAACUUUGACAUGCAGCAAGCCAGCUCAGAAAGAAGAUUACAACUGGCAGAACUUGAAGAAAUUCGCAAUGAUGCAUACGAAAAUGCCAAAAUUUACAAGCAACGAAUGAAAGUCUUUCAUGACAAGCACAUUAUGAGAAAAUCUUUCACUCCAGGUCAGAAAGUGCUUUUAUUUAAUUCUCGCUUGCACCUAUUCCCAGGUAAGUUACGCUCACGAUGGUUUUGGUCCCUUUAUUGUUCAUACUGUUUUUCCACAUGGGGCAAUUGAAAUUAAGGACCCAAAGAACGGUGUCACGUUUAAAGUUAAUGGUCAAAGAUUAAAGCCAUAUCUAGAAUACCAACCACAUGGAGAAGACACCGAAAUAAAUUUGAGUGACCCACCAGAUUUGAAUUGAUUUUUUCUUUUUGUUGAUUUGAUUUUUCUUUCUUUCUUUUUAUUAUUCUUUUGCUAUUGAAAUUAUUUUUGCAUAAGUGUGUUUGUUUUACUAUUAAGUUUUCUCUGAUCAUUUUUAAUCAUGAGUACCUUACUUAGACCGUUCCUCCUGAACAUUCUUAAACCACUUCAACGUGUCAAAACUCAUCUCAAAGGGCAAUUCAAUUUUGUAAAACACAUCGUAUUUGGGCUCUACAACCACCAGAGUUAGUAGCCUAUGUUGAGGGUUUAGAACGCCAACUCCGAGAUAUUGAGAGAAGUGUUUACGACAUCCAGUUGGAGCUUGAGGUAAAUUCAAUAAGAGGACGAUUUUAAUUUUCUUUGUGUGUUUUGAUUUGUUUUUCUGUUUGUGUGCUUUAGUUUGUUACCCCGGUGAAGUGGCGGAUAACGGUACUCCGUGACAAUCAAGUCGGUUAACUUCAGUUUCCCAUAAUAACUGAUAUUCUGAGGCGAAGGUAUGGAUAGAAACGAGAUUUUAGCAAAGCUUCACAAGCGAUUCCCUUCACUUCCUCAGAAUGCCCUCCUUACAAUCUAUAAAGCCCGGUCUGAACGCAUGCGAUUGCUCAUGAGGAAUAACAUACCUGCAGACAUCCGUUGGUUAAUCGAGGCUAAAGUACGAUUGGCAGGUGAGUUACCUCCAAAAUUUAUUGCAUUCAUGCCUGGUUGUGGUAAAGGAAAUUAUGCAAGAAAAACGACGAGCUCGAAGAAUUUCUGUUGCUUGUCAUAAGUGUGCCAGAAUGAGUUGCGAUAGAAACCCAUGUUCUUUAGAAUGGUGUCUGAUAACAGGGAAGAUAAGAUUCAAUUCAUUAGGGAUGGCUUGAAUAAGGAGUCAUUGGAUGAUAUCCUUUUGUCUCUUGAAACGCAUCCCAGUGGAUAUGUGCAAGGAGCGAUUCUCCGUUAUGGCCAUUAUUCCAGAAAGAGCAUGCACGAUAUAGUCUCGGGAAUCUGACUAUAAACGACCCUGUUUGUCAGUUUAUAAGAAAACUAGAUGGGAAGCCGAUCCUCGACCCAUAGAGGGCAUUCAAGCCGUUUCUGGACGUAAAACCAGAGGAAGAUGUGAGCCACAGUCGCAACUACGUGUAAAUAUCCUUUUACUUUACUGUUAUUUUAUUUCAUUUCACUGUUAUUUUUUGUUUGCAUUAUUGUCUUUAAUAAUUUUAUUACUGUUUUUCCUUUUUCUUUUUACUGUUUCCUUUUUGACUCGCGAGCCAUGUGCUUCACGCGUUAUUUGACACUGACAUGUUACCUCAUUCACAGCUGUGAUCCAUUGUCACCAAGAUUCUUAAAUGUGAUUUAUCUUUUGUCAAGCACUCACAAAUUAUUUUUGAGAAGUAUCACAAUGGCAGCUACUCCCAAUAGACAAUUCAAGAACAUUUGUGUGCUUUCUGGAUUUACCUAUGGCAAACAUAAAGAGUUCGUGAGGCAGCCAUAGAUCUUGAUCGAAGCAUAGCAGCGAAAAUUACAUUUGGUGUAUGGAGGAGGUAACCGAGGAUUAUCAAAAUGGUCUCAGAAGCAGCUUUUAUCAGAGGAAGUCAAGUGUUAGGCAUCAUCCCAAGAGUCCUAAAACCCAUUNNNNNNNNNNNNNNNNNNNNNNNNNNNNNNNNNNNNNNNNNNNNNNNNNNNNNNNNNNNNNNNNNNNNNNNNNNNNNNNNNNNNNNNNNNNNNNNNNNNNNNNNNNNNNNNNNNNNNNNNNNNNNNNNNNNNNNNNNNNNNNNNNNNNNNNNNNNNNNNNNNNNNNNNNNNNNNNNNNNNNNNNNNNNNNNNNNNNNNNNNNNNNNNNNNNNNNNNNNNNNNNNNNNNNNNNNNNNNNNNNNNNNNNNNNNNNNNNNNNNNNNNNNNNNNNNNNNNNNNNNNNNNNNNNNNNNNNNNNNNNNNNNNNNNNNNNNNNNNNNNNNNNNNNNNNNNNNNNNNNNNNNNNNNNNNNNNNNNNNNNNNNNNNNNNNNNNNNNNNNNNNNNNNNNNNNNNNNNNNNNNNNNNNNNNNNNNNNNNNNNNNNNNNNNNNNNNNNNNNNNNNNNNNNNNNNNNNNNNNNNNNNNNNNNNNNNNNNNNNNNNNNNNNNNNNNNNNNNNNNNNNNNNNNNNNNNNNNNNNNNNNNNNNNNNNNNNNNNNNNNNNNNNNNNNNNNNNNNNNNNNNNNNNNNNNNNNNNNNNNNNNNNNNNNNNNNNNNNNNNNNNNNNNNNNNNNNNNNNNNNNNNNNNNNNNNNNNNNNNNNNNNNNNNNNNNNNNNNNNNNNNNNNNNNNNNNNNNNNNNNNNNNNNNNNNNNNNNNNNNNNNNNNNNNNNNNNNNNNNNNNNNNNNNNNNNNNNNNNNNNNNNNNNNNNNNNNNNNNNNNNNNNNNNNNNNNNNNNNNNNNNNNNNNNNNNNNNNNNNNNNNNNNNNNNNNNNNNNNNNNNNNNNNNNNNNNNNNNNNNNNNNNNNNNNNNNNNNNNNNNNNNNNNNNNNNNNNNNNNNNNNNNNNNNNNNNNNNNNNNNNNNNNNNNNNNNNNNNNNNNNNNNNNNNNNNNNNNNNNNNNNNNNNNNNNNNNNNNNNNNNNNNNNNNNNNNNNNNNNNNNNNNNNNNNNNNNNNNNNNNNNNNNNNNNNNNNNNNNNNNNNNNNNNNNNNNNNNNNNNNNNNNNNNNNNNNNNNNNNNNNNNNNNNNNNNNNNNNNNNNNNNNNNNNNNNNNNNNNNNNNNNNNNNNNNNNNNNNNNNNNNNNNNNNNNNNNNNNNNNNNNNNNNNNNNNNNNNNNCAUUGCCAAAAACCUCACAGUGCAGAUGAUGGAAUUGUUGAUGUGGAUUUAAUAGAAACAAUAGUUGAUAAUACAUUUUUUCAAACCUUAGUGAUGAUCCUUUACAAACAUGUUUAACUCACUUUGGUUUGGAUUUUGAUAUUGACAGAUCGGUCGAAGAGGUCAACGCCCUACUUGACUCAGCACCAUCCAUGGACACUAAUAAAUGGAAGUCAAGAGUAGAACAACUAGCACCAUCAGAAAGAAACUCAUCCAUCAUCAGAAUCACCACCGAAACUCGAGCUCAAACCAUUGCCCAACACAUUGGAAUAUGCAUUUUGGGAGAAGAAAGUACUCUACCGGUAAUCAUCUCAUCAUCCCUAAAUGACGAACAAAAAGGUAAGUUGUUGGAUGUUUUAAAAGAGCACAAAGGAGCAUUAGGAUGGACCAUAGCAGACAUAAAAGGUAUAAAUCCAGUAGACUGCAUGCAUUACAUUCACCUUGAUGAAAAUGAUAAAACUACUAAGGAGAUGCAACGUCGGUUAAAAUCCUAACAUGAAAGAAGUUGUCAGAACUGAAGUCCUUAAGCUAUUAGAUGCAUGUAUCAUUUACCCAAUUUCUGAUAGUUCAUGGGUCAGUCUGUACAAGUCGUCCCCAAAAAGUCAGGAGUCACAGUAGUUACCAAUGCUGAUAAUGAAUUGAUACCAACUAGAGUAACUACAGGAUGGCGUGUAUGCAUUGAUUAUAGAAAGUUGAAUUCUGUCACACGUAAAAGACCAUUUUCCUUUACCAUUUAUCGAUCAAAUGCUUGAUAGAUUAGUAGGCCACGAAUUUUAUUGCUUUCUAGAUGGCUACUCAGGAAUAUAAUCAGAUUCCCAUAGCACCAAAAGAUCAGGAGAAAACUACUUUCACUUGCCCUUUUGGCACUUUUUGCAUAUAGGAGAAUGCCAUUUGGAUUAUGUAAUGCACCUGCUACAUUCCAACGAUGCAUGUUGAGCAUUUUUUCUGAUAUGGUUGAACGAUUCCUUGAAAGUCUUUAUGGAUGAUUUUUCUGUCUUUGGUGACUCGUUUGAUCAAAUGUUUACAUCAUCUAACGCUAGUUCUGGCAGAGAUGUACUGAGAAGAACUUAGUCUUGAAUUGGGAGAAGUGUCAUUUUAUGGUAAAACAAGGUAUUGUUCUCGUCACAUCAUUUCGAGAAAAGGUAUUGAGGUUGACAAAGCCAAGGUGGAUCUCAUUUUAAUCUUCCUCCACCCAAAACAGUCAGAGAAGUAAAGAUCUUUCCUUGGGCAUGCUGGUUUCUAUAGACGUUUCAUUAAAGAUUUUAGCAAAGUUUCUAGACCCUUAUGCAAUCUACUUGCUAAGGAUGUACCUUUUAUCUUUAAUGAUUCAUGUCUUGUGGCAUUUGAAAAAUUAAAGCAGUUGUUGACAUCAUCACCCAUCAUUCAGACCCCAAACUGGAGCUUACCAUUUGAGCUCAUGUGUGAUGCAUAUGAUUAUGCAAUAGGAGCAGUAUUAGGACAAAGAGUUGAUCGAAUUCCGCAUGUUAUUUACUAUGCUAGUAUGACAUUGAAUGAUGCACAGUUGAAUUAUUCAACUACUAAAAAAGAAAUGCUAGCAGUAGUGUUUGCAUUGGAAAAAUUUCGAUCUUAUCUCAUUGGUUGUAAAAUAAUUGUGUUCACAGAUCAUGCUGCUCUUAAAUAUCUUCUCACAAAGAAAGAUGCAAAAGCUAGACUAAUUCGUUGGGUGUUACUUUUGCAGGAAUUUGACUUGGAAUUUAAAGAUAAGAAAGGCACAGAAAAUGUUGUGGCGGACCAUCUCUCUCGUCUCCAUUUUGACACAAUUACAGAGCCAUUACCAUUAAAUGAGUCAUUCCCAGAUGAACAAUUAAUGAGUGUGGAAGUAUUACCUUGGUAUGCUGAUAUAGUUAAUUAUCUUGUUACAGGUAAACUUCCAGAGCAUUGGACCAAGCAAGACAAGGCUAAAUUCUUUGCGGAAAUAAAGAGUUUCUUUGGGAUGACCCAUAUUUGUUCAAGUAUUGUGCAGACCAAAUUGUUAGACGAUGUGUCCCUGAAAAUGAAAUUCAGAAUAUUCUUUCAUUCUGCCAUGAACAAGCUUGUGGAGGCCAUUUCAGUGCUAAGAAAACAGCGACUAAAGUUUUACAAUGUGGUUUCUAUUGGCCAACUAUAUUUCGAGAUGCUUACACUUUUUGUUCUUCAUGUGAUAGGUGUCAACGAAUGGGGAGUAUUACACGAAGGAACAUGAUGCCACUAAAUCCAAUUUUAGUGGUUGAGAUUUUUGACGUAUGGGGUAUCGACUUCAUGGGACCCUUUCCCUCUUCUUUUGGCCAUCAAUACAUAUUGGUUGGUGUUGACUACGUAUCGAAAUCGGUGGAAGCAAUUCCAUGCAGAACCAAUGAUCACAAAGUGGUGAUAGGAUUUUUGAAAAGCAACAUUGUUUCACGCUUUGGAUUCCCUCGAGCGAUAAUCAGUGAUGGUGGUGCCCACUUUUGUAACAAAGCAUUCAAGGCUCUUUUGACAAAGUAUUCAAUCACACACAAAGUGGCGACCCCGUAUCAUCCGCAAACCAGUGGCCAAGUUGAGAUCUCCAAUCGAGAAAUAAAGCACAUAUUAGAAAAAACAGUGAAGCCAGACAGAAAAGAUUGGUCAUUAAGACUUGAUGAUGCAUUAUGGGCAUAUAGAACGGCUUUCAAGACCCCGAUUGGGAUGUCACCCUAUAGGCUAGUGUAUGGAAAAGCUUGCCACCUACCUGUGGAACUCGAGCAUCGUGCGUAUUGGGCCAUCAAGAAAUUCAACUUUGACAUGCAGCAAGCCAGCUCAGAAAGAAGAUUACAACUGGCAGAACUUGAAGAAAUUCGCAAUGAUGCAUACGAAAAUGCCAAAAUUUACAAGCAACGAAUGAAAGUCUUUCAUGACAAGCACAUUAUGAGAAAAUCUUUCACUCCAGGUCAGAAAGUGCUUUUAUUUAAUUCUCGCUUGCACCUAUUCCCAGGUAAGUUACGCUCACGAUGGUUUGGUCCCUUUAUUGUUCAUACUGUUUUUCCACAUGGGGCAAUUGAAAUUAAGGACCCAAAGAACGGUGUCACGUUUAAAGUUAAUGGUCAAAGAUUAAAGCCAUAUCUAGAAUACCAACCACAUGGAGAAGACACCGAAAUAAAUUUGAGUGACCCACCAGAUUUGAAUUGAUUUUUUCUUUUUGUUGAUUUGAUUUUUCUUUCUUUCUUUUUAUUAUUCUUUUGCUAAUUGAAAUUAUUUUUGCAUAAGUGUGUUUGUUUUACUAUUAAGUUUUCUCUGAUCAUUUUUAAUCAUGAGUACCUUACUUAGACCGUUCCUCCUGAACAUUCUUAAACCACUUCAACGUGUCAAAACUCAUCUCAAAGGGCAAAUUCAAUUUUGUAAAACACAUCGUAUUUGGGCUCUACAACCACCAGAGUUAGUAGCCUAUGUUGAGGGUUUAGAACGCCAACUCCGAGAUAUUGAGAGAAGUGUUUACGACAUCCAGUUGGAGCUUGAGGUAAAUUCAAUAAGAGGACGAUUUUAAUUUUCUUUGUGUGUUUUGAUUUGUUUUUCUGUUUGUGUGCUUUAGUUUGUUACCCCGGUGAAGUGGCGGAUAACGGUACUCCGUGACAAUCAAGUCGGUUAACUUCAGUUUCCCAUAAUAACUGAUAUUCUGAGGCGAAGGUAUGGAUAGAAACGAGAUUUUAGCAAAGCUUCACAAGCGAUUCCCUUCACUUCCUCAGAAUGCCCUCCUUACAAUCUAUAAAGCCCGGUCUGAACGCAUGCGAUUGCUCAUGAGGAAUAACAUACCUGCAGACAUCCGUUGGUUAAUCGAGGCUAAAGUACGAUUGGCAGGUGAGUUACCUCCAAAAUUUAUUGCAUUCAUGCCUGGUUGUGGUAAAGGAAAUUAUGCAAGAAAACGACGAGCUCGAAGAAUUUCUGUUGCUUGUCAUAAGUGUGCCAGAAUGAGUUGCGAUAGAAACCCAUGUUCUUUAGGAAUGGUGUCUGAUAACAGGGAAGAUAAGAUUCAAUUCAUUAGGGAUGGCUUGAAUAAGGAGUCAUUGGAUGAUAUCCUUUUGUCUCUUGAAACGCAUCCCAGUGGAUAUGUGCAAGGAGCGAUUCUCCGGUUAUGGCCAUUAUUCCAGAAAGAGCAUGCACGAUAUAGUCUCGGGAAUCUGACUAUAAACGACCCUGUUUGUCAGUUUAUAAGAAAACUAGAUGGGAAGCCGAUCCUCGACCCAUAGAGGGCAUUCAAGCCGUUUCUGGACGUAAAACCAGAGGAAGAUGUGAGCCACAGUCGCAACUACGUGUAAAUAUCCUUUUACUUUACUGUUAUUUUAUUUCAUUUCACUGUUAUUUUAUUGUUUGCAUUAUUGUCUUUAAUAAUUUUAUUACUGUUUUCCUUUUUCUUUUUACUGUUUCCUUUUUGACUCGCGAGCCAUGUGCUUCACGCGUUAUUUGACACUGACAUGUUACCUCAUUCACAGCUGUGAUCCAUUGUCACCAAGAUUCUUAAAUGUGAUUUAUCUUUUGUCAAGCACUCACAAAUUAUUUUUGAGAAGUAUCACAAUGGCAGCUACUCCCAAUAGACAAUUCAAGAACAUUUGUGUGCUUUCUGGAUUUACCUAUGGCAAACAUAAAGAGUUCGUGGAGGCAGCCAUAGAUCUUGAUCGAAGCAUAGCAGCGAGAAAAUUACAUUUGGUGUAUGGAGGAGGUAACCGAGGAUUAUCAAAAAUGGUCUCAGAAGCAGCUUUUAUCAGAGGAAGUCAAGUGUUAGGCAUCAUCCCAAGAGUCCUAAAACCAUUGGGUAGUUCGUCUGACUCAUCAACUGGAGAAGAGUUAGUCGUCUCAGGUAUGCAAGAAAGAAUAACUGAAAUGCUUAAUCAUACUGAUGCUUUUAUUUUCCUUCCAUGAGAUCUUGCAACACUAGAGGCACUUAUGACACUAGCAUCUUGGGCCCAUCUACACAUUCACCAGAAACCCAUCGGUUUGUUAAAUGUCAAUAACUUUUAUGAUGGCUUUAUCGCAUUUCUUAACCAUGCAAUAAAAAACUAUUUCAUUCCUUCUAAUGUGAAAAAACUCUUUAUUUGUGCUCACACUGCUAAUGAGCUACUUGAUAUGUUACAAGCUUAUAAACCGGAGCCAGACCCUUGGACCUUUGUGUUGGAGCGACCAAAUAAUGAUGGUAACAGUAGCCGCAGUAAGAAGUACAAAUUAGAUUUAACUCUCCGCCUGUAAAUAUUUUCUUCUGUGUUGCACCACCCAGGUGAUGUCUUCUAAACUCUACUUCUUUCCUUUAAAACAUUGAGGACAAUGUUUCGUUUUGGUUGGGGGAGGGAAUAGUCGACAAUUAUGGAAUCUUGGUUAAGUUUUUACUGAUUUUUUGUUGUAGAAACUAACUGUUGCUAACAUUUUGUGUUGAAGAUGGCUGAAUAUGGAGUGUAGUUACUCUAGAAACGCAUCUUCAUCGUUUAAAAAAACAAAAAAAAAAAAUUGUUUUCUUCCUCUUUCUCCUUUAUAAAUAUAUAUUUUCAAAUUUUUGAGUCGAAGAUGGCUGAAUAUGGAGUGUAGUGCCUCUAGAAACGCAUCUUCUUAGUUAAAAAAAAAAAAAAAUUUCUUUUUCUAAUUAAUUUUUUCUACAUCAUUUUCACAUUUCUGCAUGCAUAUUUUCCUUUCAUGUUUAGAAUAGGUUGGGGGGUAGAAUGUUGUUUAAAAAAAAAAUUGUGUUAUUUGUUUUAACAUUGGAUGAAAUGAUUAAUUUCAAAUUUUAGUAUUUGUAUUAUCUUUGGUCUUAAGUGAUGUUACGCUAUGUUUGCUACUUUACAUGUUGAUGUCGGAGACAAAUAUGAGUUGCUUGAAGGAAUGAACAUGUCAUAAAUAAGUGCCAAGUGAGUUGUUGAGCCUAUCAUUUUCUUGGAGAGUAACCCUUUUGCCCAUUCUCUAUACAGCUUAGCAGUUUAUUAUUUUAUACACGAUCUCUAGAUUUCUUUUAAGUUAACCCUUUAAAAAAAAUGGUAAAAUUAAAAAAAGAAAAAAGAAAAAAAUGUGUGUUGCUACAUUGGGAGGCCCAUCUAACUAGUAGAUAUGGAUAAUUAUUUAGAGCCCUAAAAGACGAUGGAAAGGCUAUCUUUGAUCCGUUUGAGCCUUUCUAGCCAUCCCUUUUAGUAAAUAUCCAUAGUUACCCCUUUUGAGCCUUUAAAAAAAAAAAAAAGAACAAAAACCUUUUCUUUGUCAACUUAUCAUCUUGACCCACUCCGAUUUGGAGUAUUACCCAAUGUCUUUUAAGUUCCAUCACCUAUUUAUGUUUGAGAAAAUGUAAAUAAUUAUGUUGUUCAGUGAAGUUAUGCCAAAUAAAAGCAAAAAGAAAAAAAAAAACAAAAACAAAAGUUGUUGUUUCAAAAGAAUAAAAAUAACAAUAAUAGGUGAAAUCCACCUUGCAAGUUCCAAAAAAAAAAAAAAAAAAUUCUGCAUUUUUCUCAAACAUACACUUUGUUUUCCUUAUUUCCUUUCUUUGUUAGCCAUAUCCCUAGCCUACGUUACGUCCUAAUAAAAGUCCUUCUUGAUUUUAGGGAACUAUAGUUUGAAGUAGAAGCUAGUUAUAUGGGCUAAAAAGAUGUAGUGAUGCAUAAUAAAAAAAAAGAUUAAUAAAGUGGGUUGACUAACAUUUUAUUUGACUUGAGAUCGUAUUAUUUCUAAGCUGAGGGCAUAUUUAUUUCAUCUUGGUGAGAGCAUGUGAUAUCAUUUCUUUAUUAUUUUCUCUCUCAAUUACCAUUCAUUGGAGUGACUAUGUUUAUUAGGUUUUAAUUUCUUUGUGAGAGUGUCACUACUUCCAGUGAGAUUUUGGGGUUUGACAUGUCAUUCUUGAAAGUAGUUAUAACAAAGUCUACUGGGCUAAUUCAUGUGGAUGGUUGAUGUGGGUGUGAUGUUGCUUUAGACUGGAGAUAAUGCUUAUACUUUUAUUUGAUUGCUAUCAUUAAUCUGAUUGAAUAAACACGAGUGUUUCUAAAAAAAAAAAAAAAAAAAAAAUCAUUUUGAAUUUGAAUUUUGUUUUCGCUUUAUUUGCUAGGGACUAGCAAUAAGCUGGUUGGGGGGUGUGUUGAGUGUUAGAAAAUGCAUAUUUAUAAAGGAGAAAACCGUCAUUUUACAUUUCAAGUCUUAUUAACAACCCUUACUUUUAUGUAUUUAACCUUCUUGUGAUUUAAUUACAUGUGUUUUAUUUUAAUUAAGUAUUUUAUGUAUUUUAGGGGCAUUAUAGUCAUUUCACAAUAAAGGAGAGAUCAGAUGGCAAAACGGACAUCACUUUUGAACUCAGGACGGUCGAAAACCUUAGGAGGGGCAUAAAAGGAAAAAUGGCACUAUUCACAUGUACGGUACUAUUCACGUAUACGGUACUGUAUAUGUUACUGUUCACGUCACUGUUCACAUAGACGGAUCGAUGACGUGGCAUUGACCGAUGAUGUGGCAUUGACUGAUGAGGUGUCACGAUCAUGUUGGACUAAAAUUCUUAUGUACUGUUGAUGGUGACGUGGCAGCAUAUCAGUGGACGAAAAAUCUCGCGUACGGUGCAUGCAUCACACAGGAUUAUUUUCAACCAAACCGUGUUACUGUUCAUCCGGGUCAAACCGUGUUACUGUUCAUCCACGUGGUCAAACCGUGGACUGUUGACUGAUGACGUGGCGCAAUCCUGAGCGUCCAAACUGUUUUUAAUCCGAUGGCCAUGAUUUACUCCAUGUAUCUAUAAAAAGGGGGCCUCCCCCCCCUAAUUUGAUAGCUCUGAAUCCAUUUUUGGGAUCCAUUUUCUGUAAUUCCUUCUCCAUCUUGUAUUUUCUUCGUAUUUUAAUAAAUUCCCAUUUUGCCCCUAGUUCAAUUAUGAGUAGCUAAUUUCCUUUCAAGCUUGGGUUGAAGGUGAAGUCUCAACAUGUGUCAUGGGCUUUAUUUGGUAAAUUUAUUUUCUUUUCCCCUCUAGUUUUUGUGGAUGAUUUGACUUAUCGUCGACAAAUAAUACUGAUCUUGUCUAGAUACCGCCUUGGUUACACCGGCUCUCUAGUAUAAGGUUAUUAUUAUUUGGCACGAUAAGCCCUUAGCACCAUAUUGAUUAGAGUGUGGUUCAUGAGGUGUGGAUUCCCCCCUCAUGAUUUAAUUGGCAUUAAUACGGAUUAUUUAGCCCAUGAUGCAUGUUGAUACGGAUCCAGAUACCCAAGUACGUCAAUUUAAUCGAUUUUCUCUACAAUUUAUUCUCGCCCGUGUUACUGUUCAUCUGCGUGGUCAAACCGUGGACUGUUGACUGAUGACGUGGCGCAAUCCUGAGCGUCCAAACUGUUUUUAAUCCGAUGGCCAUGAUUUACUCCAUGUAUCUAUAAAAAGGGGGCCUCCCCCCCUAAUUUGAUAGCUCUGAAUCCAUUUUUGGGAUCCAUUUUCUGUAAUUCCUUCUCCAUCUUGUAUUUUCUUCGUAUUUUAAUAAAUUCCCAUUUUGCCCCUAGUUCAAUUAUGAGUAGCUAAUUUCCUUUCAAGCUUGGGUUGAAGGUGAAGUCUCAACAUGUGUCAUGGGCUUUAUUUGGUAAAUUUAUUUUCUUUUCCCCUCUAGUUUUUGUGGAUGAUUUGACUUAUCGUCGACAAAUAAUACUGAUCUUGUAUAGAUACCGCCUUGGUUACACCGGCUCUCUAGUAUAAGGUUAUUAUUAUUUGGCACGAUAAGCCCUUAGCACCAUAUUGAUUAGAGUGUGGUUCAUGAGGUGUGGAUUCCCCCCUCAUGAUUUAAUUGGCAUUAAUACGGAUUAUUUAGCCCAUGAUGCAUGUUGAUACGGAUCCAGAUAUCUAAGUACGUCAAUUUAAUCGAUUUUCUCUACAAUUUAUUCUCGCCAUUGCAAUUCCAAUUUUAGCAUAAUUAUUAUCGUCAUUUCAAUUCCAAUUUUAGCAUAUUUUAAAUCACUUCCACCACAAUUCUAACCACCCAUUUACAAAAUUAAUUCUACAUACAAUUAAAAUCCACCUCCUCGUGGGAUCGACACUCGUCACCAUUGAUCUAUACUACAAUAGAUUCGUGCGCUUGCGAGUUCAUUAAAAUUUGCACAACAUGCUUAUUAAAAAAGUACUUCUGAAAUUUUUGGUGUCUCAAAGUGAUUCAUCACAAAAACAAAAAAAAAAUUAUUUAUUUAUUAUUAUUUUUUUCUAUUUAUUUAUUUUUUUUUAAAAAAAAAGAGAUUUUCUUUUGUUCUUUCUUUUAUAUAUUUAUUUAUUUAUAAAAAAAAUUCAAAAAAAUCACUGUUAAAAAAAAAAAUUUACUGUUCACAAAAUCUCUAAUUUUCCAGAACUUGUUUUCUUCUCCAGCCGCUUGCAACACACCAGCAGCAAAGUAGCCCGCCGGAAAACGCACCACCCCGCGAGCGCAGCACCAGCAUCCCGUGUCUCGCAGCCCAGCAGCGCGCAACGAAGUCCCACCAGCACGCAACGCAGCCUCACCAGCGCGCAAUUUACUAUGCCGAAUGAUUUUACUUUGCAUACCCCGGAUGUCAUUAAGUUUAGGUUAAUGGGACGAAAUUUGUCACACUCUAUCACGGAUUUUAACCUAGCUUUAGGAUUCAUUGAUGAUGAUUAUUCUACUAGUGAUGAAUAUUUAGGAACAACUUGUGACUUUAGCAAACUUUUUGAGCCUUAUGGUCUUUGGCGUAAUUUAUCUGUUGAUCACAAUGCCUAUGACCCGAGUAAAUCAAAGAGUUCUUUCUUAUGUGAUCCUGCUUUGAAAUGUGUGCAUCGAUUCUUAGCAUAUAAUUUUUUAGGCAAGAAAGAUCACUCAGGAAUUUUCUCUAAUACUGAAUUUUAUUUUAUCUGGUGCAUGUUAAAUGAUGUGAGGCCUAAUUUAGGUUUUUGGUUAGCGGAUCAAUUUCAAAGUGUGCUUAAACGGUAAAGGACUUUAUUUCUUGGUCCAUACAUUACUCUGUUAGCUAUAAACCUAUGUGUGCUUGAUCCCGACAAUAAUGAUUUACAUCCUGCUUGCAAAAAGGAAUUUUUGGAUAUGUCUGUGUUUGAAAGAACAGGUGUGGUCGAAUUCAAGGAGGGAAGAUUUCAGUUUACUGAACCAGGACCCACUCAACUUCCGAAGAAGCUUUAUGCUAGGAGUGGUGCUACCUCUGAUGACGAGUUUGACGACGACACUGCUACCUCGCCAACUAUUCCUUCUACAUCCGCACCACCUUUGAGCAUUCAGUUAGAGAAAAUGGAGCACAAGCUGAACAAGAUGGAGCAGAAUUUGGCCGCAUACUUCGAGAGUGUGGGAUUUACCCCACCAUUUCCACCAAGCCCAUAGACAUUAUGUGGAUCAAAGCUCACAAUUCAGGGAAGUUUUUUUUGCCCUUAAUCUUUUAUCCUUACGCUUUAAUUUUUAUGUGAGCUUUAAUUAUCUUACAUUGGGGACAAUGUAAGUUCUUGGUGUGGGGGAGGGAUUUUUGCAUUAUUGAUGUCUGGAAUUAUUAUUUUCACUCUACUCAUCUAUUUUCACUCUACUCAUCCUUAAAUGAUUUUGGAGUUAGUAUGCUUCAUAUAUUAUUAUUUUUCUUUUCUUUUCUUUCUCACUACUCUUUUCCCAUCUAUCUCAAAUUAUUUACAUCUAUUUUUAUUCUAUCAUACUCUUUCAUCACUCACAUUUUAUCUUUCACUUUUCAUAUUACUACAUACAUCUUUCUCACUUUUUAUCAUUUUUACCUUUUCUUCACUCAUACCUUCUUCUCAUUCUAUACCACUAUUGAUGGUUGAUUCAUUUGAAGAGUGUACAUGAUUUGAUGGCAAAUUUACCAACUUUGUGAGGAUUUGAGCCUAUGAGCAACCACUUUGCUCUAAUUAUUUUUAUUAUGUGAAUAUCAAUCUUAGUUUGUUUAUUCUAGAACUUGCUUUGUUAUGCAUGUUGAAGCCACAUUACGGGAUUUUUUUGCAUUAAAAUGAUAAGGGCAAACCAUUUACCAUUUUUCUAUUCUCGCAUUUUCUUUUUUUUUUCUCUACCCGAAGACCUUGAUUUACUAUCUUUGUUUGAGCCUUAACCAUUACCCAUCUAAUUCUCUCCGUCUACUUAACCAUUUUUCUUCUUUUUGAGCCUCAAUUUAAGGAGAUUUUUGGACUCAUUGUGUGGAUAUAUUUUGUUGCUUUUUCUACCUUGUAUUAAAGUUUCUCAAUUAGAUCAACAAGCAUUAUGCUUGAAUUAAAUUGUGCAAGGUUCGUUUCUUUUGUUUGAUUCAAAAAAAAAAAAAGAAAAAAAAAGAGAAAAAGAAAAAAUCGAAAAAAAAAAGAAAAAAAAUGUUUACAUUCUUGGUGGCUUGAGUAGAAAUAAGCAUUUCGAUAUCAUAAAGUUCGUUCAAUGAGUUCAUUCUUCUCAUUUUGAUCUCUUUUUCUUUCAUAAACCUUUCUUUUUCAUUUAACUUAUUUAAUCAUGUUACAACCUUUUAAGACCCUUAGAUUUUUGCAUUUAAUUUAUGUUUUGUAGAUUGAGAUAUGAUAUAUAAGCAAGCUUAUGGUAAUAGCAUUCUUUGAUUUGAUUUGAGUGAAUAAAUGACACCCUAAACACUUUGAGUGCAUGGAGUGAAGUCAAUGAGAGGGCUAUUAAAUCUUGUUGCACUUGAAUUUUGAAUGGAUCUUCUUGGUGGUUGAAUGUUCUUAUUCUAUCUUAUGAGAUUCUAUGCUUUAAAAUCCUUGUCUCUCGAAUGUUGAUCGACUUAAUUUCUUGAGGUAUACUUGCUUAAAAUUGUUUUUGGAUGAUUUGAGAUGAGAAUUGAGUGGAGCUUUGGGAUUAAUCUUGAGUUAUAUGCUUGAGGACAAGCAUCAUCUUGGUGUGGGGGAAUUUGUUAGAGUGCAAUUUAUGCACUAGUUUUGCAUUGUUUACUUCCCUUAAUAUCGAUGUUUUUCACUUAAUAAUAAUGAUUUACUUGUGUUUUACUUUUGUAGGUGCAAUUCUAUUGAUUUGUGAUAAAAUUGAGCUAUAAGAUGAUGUUUAAAGAUGAUUGUUCUCUUGGAGAAAUUAUGAGCGUCAGAAGAACUUUGUUGAUAAGGCGUGGGCGCGUGCUGUCAACUACGGACCUGCAGUUUUUAGUUUAACGUGUUUUGUAUUUUUGGUUAUUUUUGUAAUUACGAAUUUAAUAUUUCAGAUAUUAGUAUUUUAUUUUAAAUAGAAUUCUAAAGGAGAAAAGAGAGAGUAUUUAAGAGAGGAAUCUAUUGUGAAACAGGGGGACUUUUGGAGAGAAAAAAAAAAACCCUAGAUCUAAACUUUUCUCUUCUCUCUAUGAAGAACUAAACCUAUUUUUCUGGUUGAAGGUUAAUGCAGUUUUGAUUCAUCACUACUGUGAGAUCUUUCUUGUGCUUUAAUUGUUUUAUUACUUUUUGGGUAUUUGUUUAUUCUCUGAAUUAUUUUCGUGAUUAUGUUUGUUAAUUAGGUAAUUGGCCGCUAUUUAAUUAUCAACUUAAUAUAUUGUCAAUUAAAGGAUUCAUCGUAUGAAGAAUUUAAUGUUUGUGACAAAUAACAUAGCAGAGAGUUGUGUUGUGAGAAUAAAAAUCUAAUUUAAAUGAAUCAUCAUAUGUGUUGAUUAGGAUUUGGGUCUCUCUGGUUUUUCAGGCUGUCAAUUGAUUAAAUCCUAUGAUCGUAUCUAGGGUUGUCUAUUGAUUAGGGAAAUAACCAACGGUCGUACCUUGGUUAUCGACUAGUUAAGGAGAGAUUGGCUAUUAGAGGGUCUCAGUAGCUAUAACCAGUUUAUUCAUAAGUAAUAAUAAUCUAUAUUUGAAUCAAUGAUCAGUAGUCGAAUCAAGCUGAGUUAAUUCCUUCAACCAGAGCUUUCUCUAAUUUGAAUUACAACUUUAAUUUGCAUUCUUGUUAUUUUAAUUUGAUUUUUAUUAUUGUCAACAAUUCCCCCAUUUUACGUUUUACGUUUCAAAAGGAUUUAAAUAAUUACCGAUCUCUGUGGACACGACCCUACUCAAUCACUAUACACAAUUUAUUUAGAGUAGGAAUUUAUUUUUGUUGGCUUCGACAACCAUCAAUGCCCCAAAUUAAACUUAAACAAUUCAACCAUUCUAUACGUAAUUACCACGGAGGCUUGAAACCGGAACUCACCAGCUAAAAGCCAAGUUGAGGUUGUUGUUGAACUUGUCUUCCUUGUGAUAAUAUAUAAUCAAGCAGUACCUAUCACUGCCACGUCAGUCGUAAGGUGAAUCAGGAUACACAAAGAAAAUAUAUCUUUCUUUUUUUUUUUUUUAAAUUUCUAAACCAAUUACCGACAGUAAGUUUUUGGACCGAGGAGCAUCCUGACGGACCCGGCAUCCAAAACCAAAAUUAUAUAUGACAGAAACAGAGUGACACUUUGAACCGCCAAACUCUUCUACUCUGGUCUAAAUCUCCAUGCAAAUGCACACACACACACACACAGGUACUCUCAUCUCUGUCUAACUAUUAUCUUUACUCUCUUGUUGCCACAUGAGUCUGCAUGAGAAUUGAAAAUUCCAAAACCAUUGACAAUGGCAUUAAUUUCAUCAACAGACUUAUGCUUAAUUUUGUUUCAAUUAGUUGUUAGGCUUUAGUUGAGCCGUUUUUAGCCAAAAAGGGGGGGGGGGGGGGGUGGGGCAUUAUCACUACAAGCACUGUAAUAAGAUCUUUAGCUUCCUCACAUAUCCAUUUAACCAAUCAAAUUGUGAGAAAAUAUUAAACACACUUUGGAUUAUACUCAUGUUUUAAAAGGUAAAAUAUUAUUGUCUGAGAUAAAAUUAAUUUUGUGAAAUUUAAAAUCUUCUCAAAAUAAUUUAAAAAGUAAUCAAACUAAUGGGUUGUGAAGGAAAGAACAGAAGUAGAAAAGAUAAAUUAAUUAAAAAGUAAGGAGCGGUCAUUUUAGAAUUCGAAGUACUGAAAUCUAUCCUUUUUAUAUGCAAGUAAGAAGUUAAUACAACAUUUUAUUUUCAAUAAAAUUGCCCUUGGCAGCCGAGGUUCAUUCGAGAAGAUAAAGUUUAUGUAAUGAAAUUUGAAAAUAGGAAUUUUUUUUUCCUAAUUAAUCAAUAUGAAUUGUUGUACUGUACCUAAUUCAUUUCGAUUGUCGUUGUGUACCCAUCACUAAGAUACAACAUAGGGUACUAUUCAUACAACAAUGUUACUAUAGCACACAAAACAACAAUACUAUUUAUGCUAUAGUACUGUCAUUUCUAUCAUGGUGGUGUUUUGUUGAUUGUCAAAUAUUAUUAAUCAUAUUUCAUUGUUUCAUUGUUGGGGCACUUAUGGGCAUGUGAUUUCACGGUUUGUAGAAAUGCUCAAUCUCAGUUGAGUGCAGCAGCAGCAGCAGAUGCAGUGAAGCAACUGAUUCCAGAAUCGGCAGAUCAUGACUAGCUUCCACCUCAACGCUGUGGAUUAUCAAAGCAUGCCUCAGGUUCUUCUCUACAGACAGAGUGGCACUUGCACAACCAAACACUUGUACACACAUCCUAGUCUUAUGGUUUUUUUUUUUUUUAAUAUUGCAUGGUAAAUCUAGUUACUUGUGCUUUCAACAUUGGAUGAUAAAUCGAGCUACUUGUAUUUACAAAUUAAAAAUCAAUUAAAAUCUCCUAAAUUAAUUCUUUAAUUUCGCAUAUUUAGAUAUGAGUGGACUCAAUCUCAACACUCUUUUCAUAUGUAUGAAUAAGAAAAUAAUUUACUGUUUUAAUACUAUAGAUGGUUCCUAAUUUAAAAUUUAUAUCCUUUUAAAUAUGACAUUGAUUACUGAUGACCACAUGUGAGGUUAUCGUUGACAUUGAUUACUAAUGACCAUAUGUGAGGUUGUCGUUGUAGUUGUGUGUGUGUAGUCUUUCUCUAGUAAGAGCAUCUAAGGGUGCACAUUAAAAUACAACAAAAAAAAAUUAGAUUUCAAUAUAUUGGAGACUGUGUUUUUAGAAGUGAAGAUGCCCUUAUUAGAGAAUUAUUAUUAUUAUUAUAUAUCCAAUCUAAGAUUCUAAAUUUGUUAAAGUUCGGGAAAUUUAUUAAGUCAUAAUGUUAUUAAAGUGGGUCCGGCUAUGGUGCAACUGUGGUACCAUACCACUGUUGCUUCCAGCCCUUGGAUCCAGCUUCUGGUAACAACUGUAGUUGAAUUUCACUGCUGGAUGCAACUGUGGUAUGGUACCACAAUUGCACCAUAGUUUUGCCCUAUUAAAAUAUAUUACUUAACAGUUUUCUCGGACUUUAAUAAAGUCGAAGUUCUUAAACUAGAUCAAUACCCUCUCCCUCUUUCGUACAAAAAUGAUACUCAAAUUUUGUUAAAGAAAAAAAAAAGAGAGAGAGAGAAUUACAAGAUCAAUUAAUUGAUGAACCAAUAUAUAUGGGUGGAACUAGACAUUCUCAAGAAUAUUCUUUUUUAAUUAAAACAAAAAGAUCAUCCCACCCAUCAAAAUAAUUAAGAACAUGACCUAAAUUAAUAGAACUACCAGCAACGGAAAACAUACAUGCCUCAAAUUAAACUUAAACAAUUCAAUAAAAUACAUGCCUCAAAUUAAACUUAAACAAUUCAACCAUUCUAUACGUAAUUACCAUGGAGGCUUGAAACUCCCAACUCACAAGCUAAAAGCCAAAGUUGAGGUUGUUUGUUGUUGAACUUGUCUUGUCUUUUUUAUGAUAAUAUAUAAUUCGCAGCAGUACCUAUCACUGCCACGUCAGUCGUGAGGUGAAUUAGGAUAUGCAAAGAAAAUAUAUCUUCUUCUUUUUUAAUUUCUAAACCAAUUAUCGACAGUAAUUUUUCGUACCGACCCGGCAUCCAAAACCAAAAUCUUGACCAUGGGUUUCGUUAUCCAAAACUAAAGAAACACAAACAGAGUGAUAAAGCGACGGCCACUGCUGCGUUGUUUCUUCUUAUUUCUGCCAAUUCGAAGUCUAGCUGAGAGUGAACAGACACAAAUUCGCCUGUGCCAUACUUAGAGCUCUAGCAAUUAAGCUGGCAACAACCGCUACAAGCAUUGCUUUGGACUACUGCUGCUCGAUAGUGCCGACUCCUAUUACUUGUGAAGAUGUUGACAUAAUGCCAUCGUUGGCUUCUAAGAUUGCUGCUCUAAUCAACUGAGAGCGUUUUGAAUAGUCCCCGCUGUUGGCUGUUUCUGCUGUUGACUGAUUACGAGUGAUCUCAGAUGGUUGGCAGAAAACUCAAAAGAGGAGAGAAUACAGAAGCGGAUCGUGCCCUUUAAGUCACAUGUUGCUUUCUACCACAUCGUUUCAAACGAAGUUUUACUAUAAUAUUUCUCUAGUUUGGACUUGGUUUGUAAUUAAUAGUCAUUGCUUUGGUCAAUACACAGCCUCUUUUCCUUGUACAUCAAGGGAAUAUUUAGAUUGUUAUUCUUUCAUCCAGAAUAAGGACAUGAAAGAGCAUGAUUUUUGUAUCUAUUAGAAUAGACCGAACAAUUUUUGUCAGAAGUAAUUAUGUAUAUUGACAGUAUAGCGGAACAGGUUGGGCAAAUAUAUAUCUGUUGAGAGAAGACUUGUUCUCGUAAGACAAAAAUUCUAGCCUCUAUGCUUGCAGCUGGAGGGGCCUCUGUUUCUGAACAGGGGAACUCUGUUUCAGCAGGCUUUCUUAGAAUGGUUGGAUUCGUUACUGGGGCAAAUUGGACACAUGAUGAGGUGCAAAUUUAGGAAUAUUUUUGUCUCAUAUAAGAUAAAAAAAUAUAUGCACGUAGCCGUUUACAAAGUGAUCAAUUCAUCACACACGAAACAAAUAAUUGAUCUGCAAGUCAUCGUAAUUCGUUUCAAUUUUCUACCUUCGAGCUCACAACAUUCAAAUACUUCACAAAGUCUACAAAGUUAAUAAAUAAAUAUACGUGACAGACUUAUUCUCAGACCAUUUCAAUAUUGGCAAAUAAUAAGUCUCUAAUUUUUAUGAGUCUGCUCAUAAUUUCUUUUGUGUUGACCCUAUUCUCAGGUGAUUCGCUUGUACACUCCAUUGCUAAACUCAAAACAGAUGAUGCACAUGACUGCUUUCCAACAUUAGCGUGUUCUUCAUCUUCACUCAGUAGAUUUGCAUCCAUGAUAUCAAUCACCGCAGGUAACGAGUCGUUAACCCAACGCUUUAUGCUCAUUUCUCCAGUAAAAAAUUCGUUUGUGGGUUUCAUUCCUGUAAAUACUUCCAUCAACAUAAUCCCGUAGCUGUACACAUCACCUUUUAUUGAUACUUGUCCUUCUCUUCCAUACUCUAUAGAUUGCAUAAAUUAAAACAUCAGCAUUCAAUAACAUUCUGCCAAGAAGAUAAUGAAAAACUAAUACUAAUAUUGUUUAAAAUUAACAAAUAUGAAGCUUAGAACAAACCUGGUGCCAUGUAACCUAUCGUGGCGAGUGUUUGUGUUUGUUUCAUAGAGUCUUCUUCACUUAAGAGCUUUGCAAUCCCAAAAUCACUUAAAUGUGCAACCAUGUUGUCGUCCAACAAUACGUUGCUAGGCUUCACGUCGCAAAGAACAAUAGGAUUGGAAUGACCAAAGUGGAGAUAUUCUAAAGCUGAUGCAACAUCUAUCAUUAUGCCCAAUCUCUGAAAAAUAUCCAAAUUAAAAUUGCUAGCGUACAAACAAUCCUCCAGACUCCCAUUCGGCAUGUACUCUAGUACCAAUGCUUUGAAAUUAUGAUUUGUACAACUGCUGAUAAUUUUGACCAAGUUUCUAUGGCGAAUAGUUUUUAAUAUUUCACAUUCCGCAUCGAAACUAUUUAAUGCUCCUUCCCGUUGUAAGUGAAAUACCUUUAUUGCAACCUCAAUCCCAUCUGGAAACCUGCCUUUAUAAACCGAGCCAUAACUUCCAAUCCCAAUGAGGUUUUCUUCACUAAAUUGAUCCGUUGCUCGCAAAAGCUCAUCAUGUGAGUAUCUUCUCCACAUCACUUGUGGUGACAUAUCAGCUUUAAUGUGUGAAACUUCUGUGCUUAUUCUUUUACGACAUCUGGUGAUCAAUCCAAAUGUAAGAGCCAGUAGGACCGUAACAAUGAACACAGUGCUCAAAGGCAAAACAACUCCUAGGAGAAUAACUUGUUUCCUUGAUUUUUUAUGAGGGCUACUUUUGCAUAGUGGAACGUGCAGAUAGGGUGAACCACACAACAAAUCAUUUCCUAUAAAUGAUUCAGCUGAGAAGUUUGCAAAAGCUCCUCCUCUGGGAAUCUCCCCUACUAGUUUGUUGAAAGAGAGAUUUAGACUUUUGAGGUACAAGAGUUUCUCCAAAGAUGCAGGAAUAACACCCGAAAGAUCAUUAUUAGAUAAAUCCAAGAAUUCCAAGCUGACCAACUCACCAAAAGAUUCUGGAAUAGGACCUUGUAGUUUAUUGUGUUCCAAGGAAAGGUGUUGCAGAUUUUUUAGGCCUACAAUUGUGGAUGGGAUAUUCCCCGAUAAAUUAUUCCUUGACAAAUAUAUGUCUACCACAGCUUUCAGAUUUCCAAUCUCCAAUGGAAGAGACCCAUUUAAAGAAUUUGAUGAAAAGUCGAAGCCCAGUAUAUCUUCAAGGUUCCAAAAAGUUGAAGGUAUGACAGAAGUUAACUCAUUUGAACCCAGAGAGAGUAUCCGUAGAGAGUUCAGAUCACCUAAGCAUGAAGGGAUUGAUCCUGAAAGCUUGUUGCGGUUCAAGUAAACCACAUAGAGUCUAGAGAAAUGGCAGAACUCCUGUGGGAUUGGUCCUUCAAAUUGAUUAUAAAUGAUACUCAAAUUUUAUUAAAGAAAUAAAAGACAGAGAAUCACGAGAUCAAUUACUUGAUGAAGCAAUAUAUGGGUGGACUUAGACAUCCUCGAGAAUAUUCUUUUUUAAUUAAAACAAAAGGAUCAUCCCACCCAUCAAAAUCAUUAGGUACAUGACCAAAUUAAUAAAACUACGAGUAAAAUUACCCUCGCGAUGGAUGUGUGAUCAAUAAAAAUACAUGCAUGUUAGAGUGCAAUUUAUGCACUAGUUUUGCAUUGUUUACUUCCCUUAAUAUCGAUGUUUUGCACUUAAUAAUAAUGAUUUACUUGUGUUUUACUUUUGUAGGUGUAAUUCUAUUGAUUUGUGAUAAAAUUGAGCUAUAAGAUGAUGUUUAAAGAUGAUUGUUCUCUUGGAGAAAUUAUGAGCGUCAGAAGAACUUUGUUGAUAAGGCGUGGCGCGUGCUGUCAACUACGGACCUGCAGUUUUUAGUUUAACGUGUUUUGUAUUUUUGGUUAUUUUUGUAAUUACGAAUUUAAUAUUUCAGAUAUUAGUAUUUUAUUUUAAAUAGAAUUCUAAAGGAGAAGAGAGAGAGAGUAUUUAAGAGAGGAAUCUAUUGUGAAAAAGGGGGACUUUUGGAGAGAAAAAAAAAACCCUAGAUCUAAACUUUUCUCUUCUCUCUAUGAAGAACUAAACCUAUUUUUAUGGUUGAAGGUUAAUGCAGCUUUGAUUCAUCACUACUGUGAGAUCUUUCUUGUGCUUUAAUUGUUUUAUUGCUUUUUGGGUAUUUGUUUAUUUUCUGAAUUAUUUUCAUGAUUAUGUUUGUUAAUUAGGUAAUUGGCCGCUAUUUAAUUAUCAACUUAAUCUAUUGUCAAUUAAAGGAUUCAUCGUAUGAAGAAUUUAAUGUUUGUGACAAAUAACAUAGCAGAGAGUUGUGUUGUGAGAAUAAAAAUCUAAUUUAAAUGAAUCAUCAUAUGUGUUGAUUACGAUUUGGGUCUCUCUAGUUUUUCAGGCUGUCAAUUGAUUAAAUCAUAUGAUCGUAUCUAGGGUUGUCUAUUGAUUAGGGAAAUAACCAACGGUCGUACCUUGGUUAUCGACUAGUUAAGGAGAGAUUGGCUAUUAGAGGGUCUCAGUAGCUAUAAUCGGUCUAUUCAUAAGUAAUAAUAAUCUAUAUUUGAAUCAAUGAUCAGUAGUCGAAUCAAGCUGAGUUAAUUCCUUUAACCAGAGCUUUCUCUAAUUUGAAUUACAACUUUAAUUUGCAUUCUUGUUAUUUUAAUUUGAUUUUUAUUAUUGUCAACAAUUCCCCCAUUUUACGUUUUACGUUUCAAAAGGAUUUAAAUAAUUACCGAUCUCUGUGGACACGACCCUACUCAAUCACUAUACACAAUUUAUUUAGAGUAGGAAUUUAUUUUUGUUGGCUUCGACAACCAUCAAAUUUUGGCGCCGUUGCCAGGGAUUGGUGUCAUUUAUUUAAUCCUUUUUACGUUUUACUUGGUGUAUGGUUCGUUCUUCUAGUACAGGUACACUUUCGUUUGAUCCUGAAAUUGAGAAGACAGCUCGCCAGCUGAGACAGCAGACGAAGCGAGCUAAGCAACGAUCCUCGUCGCCUUUGCUUUCUGAAACAGAUACAGUGCCUGAUUUAGUUCAAUCAUCUAGCGAUUCGGAAGAACAAGUGAUGGAUAGAGCUGCACCUGUAGAAAGAACUCUUAGAGAGUUAGCCGAACCAGACUUGAAUCAGCAACCACUCUGCAUUCAAUAUGUAGACUUGGAGGUAAAUUUUGAAUUAAAGUCUGGUCUUAUUCAUUUAUUACCCAAGUUUCAUGGUUUUGCAGGUGAAGAUCCUCAUAAACAUCUUAAGGAGUUUCAUGUUGUAUGUUCAAGUAUGAGGCCACAAGGCGUGACUGAAGAGCAGAUUAAGCUGCGUGCUUUUUCGUUCUCUGUAGAUGGGCUAGCUAAAGACUGGAUGUACUACUUGCCUCAUGGAUCGAUUACAACGUGGAAUGGUUUGAAGAGGCAGUUCCUCGAGAAGUACUUUCCUGCUUCAAGAGCUGCCAACAUCAGAAAAGAUAUUUGUGGGAUCAGACAACUUCCUGGGGAGACUUUGUAUGAGUAUUAGGAGCGAUUCAAACAAUUGUGUGCCAGCUGUCCUCAACAUCAGAUUUCUGAUCAACUUUUUAUUCAAGAUUUUUACGAAGGACUGUCAUUAAUGGAUAGGAGUAUGAUAGAUGCUUCUAGUGGAGGCGUGUUGGUGAACAAGACCCCUACUCAAGAAAGGGAGCUGAUAUCAAAUAUAGCUGCCAACGCACAACAAUUUGGCAGCAGGCAAGAUCUCACUUCAAGGAAGGUGAAUGAGGUAAAUAUUUCUUCUGUUGAACAACGUUUAGAUAAACUUACUUCUCUUGUGGAAAAGUUUGUUGUAGGUAAUGUGCAACAGGUGAAGACUUGUGGCAUUUGUUACAAUAUGGGUCAUUCAACUGAUAUAUGUCCUACACUUCAAGAAGAACCCAUUGAACAAGCCAAUGCAGUUGGAGGAUUUCCAGGCAUGCCUCAGAGGAGGUAUGAUCCUUAUGCACAAACAUACAAUCCGGGAUGGAAGGAUCACCCCAACCUCAGCUAUGGAGUUAGGCCAUCAGGAUUCCCACAACAGUAUCCACCAAGACAACCAGCACCUCCACAAUCAAACUCUAAGUCAGGUAUAUCUCUUGAAGAAAUUGUUAAAUCACUUGCUACUAACACUCAACAAUGUCAGCAAGCAACUACAGCAAGCAUUCAGAACUUGGAGAACCAAAUGAGUCAAUUGGCGACUACAGUGAGCCGUCUGGAGUCUCAAGUAUUAGGGAGAUUGCCUUUACAAUCUGAGGUGAAUCCAAAGCAAAAUGUUAGUGCUGUCAUCCUUAGAAGUGGGAAUGAGUUGCAAGAGCCUAAUAAGAAAGUGACAAAGCAUGUAGAAGAUGAGCUUGAGAAGAAUGAAUUGAUGCCUAAAUCUCAAGAUGCGCAACCCACCAGAGCGAAACCCCUACCUAUUGUGAUACCUCCUCCUUUUCCAAGCCGGUUUGCAAAAUCCAAGAAGGAGGAACAAGAGAAAGACAUCCUUGAGACAUUUCGCAAGGUUGAGGUAAAUAUUCCUUUAUUAGAUGCUAUAAAACAAAUACCUUGAUAUGCUAAAGUCCUUAAGGAACUGUGCACUUCUAAGAGAAAAUUAAGAGGAGAUGAAAAAGUUCACAUGGGGGAGAAUGUUUCAGCAAUUCUCCAAAAGAAACUACCUCCUAAGUGCAAGGAUCCAGGUAUGUUUACUAUCCCUCGUAAAAUUGGUAGUGUUAGAAUUGAAAAGGCUUUGUUAGAUCUAGGAGCUUCUAUUAAUGUCAUGCCUCGUUCCAUUUAUUCAUCUUUGAAUGUUGGUCCAUUAAAAGAAACUGGCGUGAUAAUUCAACUAGCUGAUAGGUCUAAUGCAUAUCCUGAUGGGGUAUUAGAAGAUGUCUUAGUACAAGUUAAUGAGUUGGUUUUUCCUGCUGACUUUUAUGUUCUUGAUAUGGAAGAGGAUAACUAUUCUAAUUUUGUCCCAAUUUUGCUAGGAAGACCUUUUCUUAAGACUGCUAGGACUAAAAUGAAUGUACAUAAAGGGACUCUCACUAUGGAGUUUGAUAGAGAGAUUAUAGAAUUCAAUAUGAAUGAUGCCAUGAAAUAUCCUAGUGAGGAACAUUCGGUAUUUUCUGUGGAUGUUAUUAACCCUAUAGUGCAGGAAGUUAUUUACAAGGAAAAAACGAAGACAUUUCAUGAUAGAAUGAUUUUGAGAAAGGAGUUCUCUGUUGGUCAAAAAGUUCUUCUUUUUCAUUCUAAGCUUAAACUUUUUCCGGGUAAAUUACGUUCUUGCUGGGUUGGACCUUUUAUUAUUACUAAUGUUUUUCCUCAUGGUGCAGUUGAGAUUCGGAGUCCGACCUCUGACAAAAUUUUUAAGGUUAAUGGUCAUCGCUUAAAACCUUUUUAUGAAGGGUUUUCGGUGAAUAUUGUGGAGGAUGUGGCUCUCAGAGUCCCAAUUAUGGAGAUUGAUGCAUAAAUGUGUCUAGCCAAAGACAUAAAACAAAAGCGCUUUUUGGGAGGCAACCCAAAUGAUUUAUUUAUUUUAGUUUUUGUUAUAUCUUCUUUUAAUUUGAUUCAUUUUUUUUAAUGUGUUUGCUUAUUUUGGUCAGAAGAAAAUUUUUGAUAAGGCGUGCCCACGUCUUAACUAAUAAGUACUUCUGUGAUUUUUAAAGUAAAAUGGUUUUAAGGCGUGCCCACGUGCUUAUUAAAAAAGUACUUCUGAAAUUUUUAGUGUCUCAAAGUGAUUCAUCACAAAAACAAAAAAUAAAUUUAUUUAUUUAUUAUUAUUUUUUUCUAUUUAUUUAUUUAUUUUUUAAAAAAAAAGAGAUUUUCUUUUGUUCUUUCUUUUAUAUAUUUAUUUAUUUAUAAAAAAAAUUCAAAAAAAUCAUUGUUAAAAAAAAAUUUACUAUUCACAAAAUCUCUAAUUUUCCAGUACUUGUUUUCUUCUCCAGCCGCUUGCAACACACCAGCAGCAAAGCAGCCCGCCGGAAAACGCACCACCUCGCGAGCGCAGCACCAGCAUCCCGUGUCUCGCAGCCCAGCAGUGCGCAACGAAGUCCCACCAGCGCGCAACGCAGCCUCAGCAGCGCGCAAUUUACUAUGCCGAAUGAUUUUACUUUGCAUACCCCGGAUGUCAUUAAGUUUAGGUUAAUGGGACGAAAUUUGUCACACUCUAUCACAGAUUUUAACCUAGCUUUAGGAUUCAUUGAUGAUGAUUAUUCUACUAGUGAUGAAUAUUUAGGAACAACUUGUGACUUUAGCAAACUUUUUUAGCCUUAUGGUCUUUGGCGUAAUUUAUCUGUUGAUCACAAUGCCUAUGACCCGAGUAAAUCAAAGAGUUCUUUCUUACGUGAUCCUGCUUUGAAAUGUGUGCAUCGAUUCUUAGCAUAUAAUUUUUUAGGCAAGAAAGAUCACUCAGGAAUUUUCUCUAACACUGAAUUUUAUUUUAUUUGGUGCAUGUUAAAUGAUGUGAGGCCUAAUUUAGGUUUUUGGUUAGCGGAUCAAUUUCAAAGUGUGCUUAAACGGUAAAGGACUUUAUUUCUUGGUCCAUACAUUACUCUGUUAGCUAUAAACCUAUGUGUGCUUGAUCCCGACAAUAAUGAUUUGCAUCCUGCUUGCAAAAAGGAAUUUUUGGAUAUGUCUGUGUUUGAAAGAACAGGUGUGGUCGAAUUCAAGGAGGGGAGAUUUUAGUUUAUUGAACCAGGACCCACUCAACUUCCGAAGAAGCUUUAUGCUAGGAGUGGUGCUACCUCUGAUGACGAGUUUGACGACGACACUGCUGCCUCGCCAACUAUUCCUUCUACAUCCGCACCACCUUUGAGCAUUCAGUUAGAGAAAAUGGAGCACAAGCUGAACAAGAUGGAGCAGAAUUUGGCCGCAUACUUCGAGAGUGUGGGAUUUACCCCACCAUUUCCACCAAGCCCAUAGACAUUAUGUGGAUCAAAGCUCACAAUUCAGGGAAGUUUUUUUUGCCCUUAAUCUUUUAUCCUUACGCUUUAAUUUUUAUGUGAGCUUUAAUUAUCUUACAUUGGGGACAAUGUAAGUUCUUGGUGUGGGGGAGGGAUUUUUGCAUUAUUGAUGUCUGGAAUUAUUAUUUUCACUCUACUCAUCUAUUUUCACUCUACUCAUCCUUAAAUGAUUUUGGAGUUAGUAUGCUUCAUAUAUUAUUAUUUUUCUUUUCUUUUCUUUCUCACUACUCUUUUCCCAUCUAUCUCAAAUUAUUUACAUCUAUUUUUAUUCUAUCAUACUCUUUCAUCACUCACAUUUUAUCUUUCACUUUUCAUAUUACUACAUACAUCUUUCUCACUUCUUAUCAUUUUUACCUUUUCUUCACUCAUAUCUUCUUCUCAUUCUACACCACUAUUGAUGGUUGAUUCAUUUGAAGAGUGUACAUGAUUUGAUGGCAAAUUUACCAACUUUGUGAGGAUUUGAGCCUAUGAGCAACCACUUUGCUCUAAUUAUUUUUAUUAUGUGAAUAUCAAUCUUAGUUUGUUUAUUCUAGAAUUAUUAUUUUCACUCUACUUAUCCUUAAAUGAUUUUGGAGUUAGUAUGCUUCAUAUAUUAUUAUUUUUCUUUUCUUUUCUUUCUCACUACUCUUUUCCCAUCUAUCUCAAAUUAUUUACAUCUAUUUUUAUUCUAUCAUACUCUUUCAUCACUCACAUUUUAUCUUUCACUUUUCAUAUUACUACAUACAUCUUUCUCACUUCUUAUCAUUUUUACCUUUUCUUCACUCAUAUCUUCUUCUCAUUCUACACCACUAUUGAUGGUUGAUUCAUUUGAAGAGUGUACAUGAUUUGAUGGCAAAUUUACCAACUUUGUGAGGAUUUGAGCCUAUGAGCAACCACUUUGCUCUAAUUAUUUUUAUUAUGUGAAUAUCAAUCUUAGUUUGUUUAUUCUAGAAUUAUUAUUUUCACUCUACUUAUCCUUAAAUGAUUUUGGAGUUAGUAUGCUUCAUAUAUUAUUAUUUUUCUUUUCGUUUCUUUCUCACUACUCUUUUCCCAUCUAUCUCAAAUUAUUUACAUCUAUUUUUAUUCUAUCAUACUCUUUCAUCACUCACAUUUUAUCUUUCACUUUUCAUAUUACUACAUACGUCUUUCUCACUUUUUAUCAUUUUUAUCUUUUCUUCACUCAUACCUUCUUCUCAUUCUACACCACUAUUGAUGGUUGAUUCAUUUGAAAAGUGUACAUGAUUUGAUGGCAAAUUUACCAACUUUGUGAGGAUUUGAGCCUAUGAGCAACCACUUUGCUCUAAUUAUUUUUGUUAUGUGAAUAUCAAUCUUAGUUUGUUUAUUCUAGAACUUGCUUUGUUAUGCAUGUUGAAGCCACAUUACGGGAUUUUUUUGCAUUAAAAUGAUAAGGGCAAACCAUUUACCAUUUUUCUAUUCUCGCAUUUUCUUUUUUUUUUUCUCUACCCGAAGACCUUGAUUUACUAUCUUUGUUUGAGCCUUAACCAUUACCCAUCUAAUUCUCUCCGUCUACUUAACCAUUUUUCUUCUUUUUGAGCCUCAAUUUAAGGAGAUUUUUGGACUCAUUGUGUGGAUAUAUUUUGUUGCUUUUUCUACCUUGUAUUAAAGUUUCUCAAUUAGAUCAACAAGCAUUAUGCUUGAAUUAAAUUGUGCAAGGUUCGUUUCUUUUGUUUGAUUCAAAAAAAAAAGGAAAAAAAAAAGAGAAAAAGAAAAAAUCGAAAAAAAAGAAAAAAAAUGUUAACAUUCUUGGUGACUUGAGUAGAAAUAAGCGUUUCGAUAUCAUAAAGUUCGUUCAAUGAGUUCAUUCUUCUCAUUUUGAUCUCUUUUUCUUUCAUAAACCUUUCUUUUUCAUUUAACCUAUUUAAUCAUGUUACAACCUUUUAAGACCCUUAGAUUUUUUCAUUUAAUUUAUGUUUUGUAGAUUGAGAUAUGAUAUAUAAGCAAGCUUAUGGUAAUAGCAUUCUUUGAUUUGAUUUGAGUGAAUAAAUGACACCCUAAACACUUUGAGUGCAUGGAGUGAAGUCAAUGAGAGGGCUAUUAAAUCUUAUUGCACUUGAAUUUUGAAUGGAUCUUCUUGGUGGUUGAAUAUUCUUAUUCUAUCUUAUGAGAUUCUAUGCUUUAAAAUCCUUGUCUCUCGAAUGUUGAUCGACUUAAUUUCUUGAGGUAUACUUGCUUAAAAUUAUUUUUGGAUGAGUUGAGAUGAGAAUUGAGUGGAGCUUUGGGAUUAAUCUUGAGUUAUAUGCUUGAGGACAAGCAUCAUCUUGGUGUGGGGGAAUUUGUUAGAGUGCAAUUUAUGCACUAGUUUUGCAUUGUUUACUUCCCUUAAUAUCGAUGUUUUGCACUUAAUAAUAAUGAUUUACUUGUGUUUUACUUUUGUAGGUGCAAUUCUAUUGAUUUGUGAUAAAAUUGAGCUAUAAGAUGAUGUUUAAAGAUGAUUGUUCUCUUGGAGAAAUUAUGAGCGUCGGAAGAACUUUGUUGAUAAGGCGUGGGCGCGUGCUGUCAACUACGGACCUGCAGUUUUUAGUUUAAAGUGUUUUGUAUUUUUGGUUAUUUUUGUAAUUACGAAUUUAAUAUUUCAGAUAUUAGUAUUUUAUUUUAAAUAAAAUUCUAAAGGAGAAGAGAGAGAGAGUAUUUAAGAGAGGAAUCUAUUGUGAAAAAGGGGGACUUUUGGAGAGAAAAAAAAAACACUAGAUCUAAACUUUUCUCUUCUCUUUAUGAAGAACUAAACCUAUUUUUCUGGUUGAAGGUUAAUGCAGCUUUGACUCAUCACUACUGUGAGAUCUUUCUUGUGCUUUAAUUGUUUUAUUACUUUUUGGGUAUUUGUUUAUUCUCUGAAUUAUUUUCAUGAUUAUGUUUGUUAAUUAGGUAAUUGGCCGCUAUUUAAUUAUCAACUUAAUCUAUUGUCAAUUAAAGGAUUCAUCGUAUGAAGAAUUUAAUGUUUGUGACAAAUAACAUAGCAGAGAGUUGUGUUGUGAGAAUAAACAAUCUAAUUUAAAUGAAUCAUCAUAUGUGUUGAUUAGGAUUUGGGUCUCUCUGGUUUUUCAGGCCGUCAAUUGAUUAAAUCCUAUGAUCGUAUCUAGGGUUGUCUAUUGAUUAGGGAAAUAACCAACGGUCGUACCUUGGUUAUCGAUUAGUUAAGGAGAGAUUGGCUAUUAGAGGGUCUCAGUAGCUAUAACCGGUCUAUUCAUAAGUAAUAAUAAUCUAUAUUUGAAUCAAUGAUCAGUAUUCGAAUCAAGCUGAGUUAAUUCCUUCAACCAGAGCUUUCUCUAAUUUGAAUUACAACUUUAAUUUACAUUCUUGUUAUUUUAAUUUGAUUUUUAUUAUUGUCAACAAUUCCCCCAUUUUACGUUUUACGUUUCAAAAGGAUUUAAAUAAUUACCGAUCUCUGUGGACACGACCCUAUUCAAUCACUAUACACAAUUUAUUUAGAGUAGGAAUUUAUUUUGUUGGCUUCGACAACCAUCAAUGCCCCAAAUUAAACUUAAACAAUUCAACCAUUCUAUACGUAAUUACCACGGAGGCUUGAAACCGGAACUCACCAGCUAAAAGCCAAGUUGAGGUUGUUGUUGAACUUGUCUUCCUUGUGAUAAUAUAUAAUCAAGCAGUACCUAUCACUGCCACGUCAGUCGUAAGGUGAAUCAGGAUACACAAAGAAAAUAUAUCUUUCUUUUUUUUUUUUUAAAUUUCUAAACCAAUUACCAACAGUAAGUUUUUGGACCGAGGAGCAUCCUGACGGACCCGGCAUCCAAAACCAAAAUUAUAUAUGACAGAAACAGAGUGACACUUUGAACCGCCAAACUCUUCUACUCUGGUCUAAAUCUCCAUGCAAAUGCACACACACACACACACAGGUACUCUCAUCUCUGUCUAACUAUUAUCUUUACUCUCUUGUUGCCACAUGAGUCUGCAUGAGAAUUGAAAAUUCCAAAACCAUUGACAAUGGCAUUAAUUUCAUCAACAGACUUAUGCUUAAUUUUGUUUCAAUUAGUUGUUAGGCUUUAGUUGAGCCGUUUUUAGCCAAAAAGGGGGGGGGGGGGGGCAUUAUCACUACAAGCACUGUAAUAAGAUCUUUAGCUUCCUCACAUAUCCAUUUAACGAAUCAAAUUGUGAGAAAAUAUUAAACACACUUUGGAUUAUACUCAUGUUUUAAAAGGUAAAAUAUUAUUGUCUGAGAUAAAAUUAAUUUUGUGAAAUUUAAAAUCUUCUCAAAAUAAUUUAAAAAGUAAUCAAACUAAUGGGUUGUGAAGGAAAGAACAGAAGUAGAAAAGAUAAAUUAAUUAAAAAGUAAGGAGCGGUCAUUUUAGAAUUCGAAGUACUGAAAUCUAUCCUUUUUAUAUGCAAGUAAGAGGUUAAUACAACAUUUUAUUUUCAAUAAAAUUGCCCUUGGCAGCCGAGGUUCAUUCGAGAAGAUAAAGUUUAUGUAAUGAAAUUUGAAAAUAGGAAUUUUUUUUUCCUAAUUAAUCAAUAUGAAUUGUUGUACUGUACCUAAUUCAUUUCGAUUGUCGUUGUGUACCCAUCACUAAGAUACAACUUAGGGUACUAUUCAUACAACAAUGUUACUAUAGCACACAAAACAACAAUACUAUUUAUGCUAUAGUACUGUCAUUUCUAUCAUGGUGGUAUUUUGUUGAUUGUCAAAUAUUAUUAAUCAUAUUUCGUUGUUUCAUUGUUGGGGCACUUAUGGGCAUGUGAUAUCACGGUUUGUAGAAAUGCUCAAUCUCAGUUGAGUGCAGCAGCAGCAGCAGAUGCAGUGAAGCAACUGAUUCCAGAAUCGGCAGAUCAUGACUAUCUUCCACCUCAACGCUGUGGAUUAUCAAAGCAUGCCUCAGGUUAUUCUCUACAGACAGAGUGGCGCUUGCACAACCAAACACUUGUACACACAUCCUAGUCUUAUGUUUUUUUUUUUUUUUAAUAUUGCAUGGUAAAUCUAGUUACUUGUGCUUUCUAACAUUGGAUGAUAAAUCGAGCUACUUGUAUUUACAAAUUAAAAAUCAAUUAAAAUCUCCUAAAUUAAUUCUUUAAUUUCGCAUAUUUAGAUAUGAGUGGACUCAAUCUCAACACUCUUUUCAUAUGUAUGAAUAAGAAAAUAAUUUACUGUUUUAAUACUAUAGAUGGUUUCUAAUUUAAAAUUUAUAUCCUUUUAAAUAUGACAUUGAUUACUGAUGACCACAUGUGAGGCUAUCGUUGACAUUGAUUACUAAUGACCAUAUGUGAGGUUGUCGUUGUAGUUGUGUGUGUGUAGUCUUUCUCUAGUAAGAGCAUCUAAGGGUGCACAUUAAAAUACAAUAGAAAAAAAUUAGAUUUCAAUAUAUUGGAGACUGUGUUUUUUAGAAGUGAAGAUGCCCUUAUUAGAGAAUUAUUAUUAUUAUUAUUAUAUAUCCAAUCUAAGAUUCUAAAUUUGUUAAAGUUCGGGAAAUUUAUUAAGUCAUAAUGUUAUUAAAAUGGGUCCGGCUAUGGUGCAACUGUGGUACCAUACCACUGUUGCUUCCAGCCGUUGAAUCCAGCUUCUGGUAACAACUGUAGCUGAAUUUAACAGCUGGAUGCAACUGUGGUAUGGUACCACAAUUGCACCAUAGUUUUGCCCUAUUAAAAUAUAUUAUCUAACAGUUUUCUCGGAAUUUAAUAAAGUUGAAGUUCUUAAACUAGAUCAAUACCCUCUCCCUCUUUCGUACAAAAAUGAUACUCAAAUUUUGUUAAAGAAAAAAAAGAGAGAGAGAGAGAGAGAAUUACAAGAUCAAUUAAUUGAUGAACCAAUAUAUAUGGGUGGAACUAGACAUUCUCAAGAAUAUUCUUUUUUAAUUAAAACAAAAAGAUCAUCCCACCCAUCAAAAUAAUUAAGAACAUGACCUAAAUUAAUAGAACUACCAGCAACGGAAAACAUACAUGCCUCAAAUUAAACUUAAACAAUUCAAUAAAAUACAUGCCUCAAAUUAAACUUAAACAAUUCAACCAUUCUAUACGUAAUUACCAUGGAGGCUUGAAACUCCCAACUCACAAGCUAAAAGCCAAAGUUGAGGUUGUUGUUGUUGAACUUGUCUUGUCUUUUUUAUGAUAAUAUAUAAUUCGCAGCAGUACCGAUCACUGCCACGUCAGUCGUGAGGUGAAUUAGGAUAUGCAAAGAAAAUAUAUCUUCUUUUUUUUUAAUUUCUAAACCAAUUAUCGACAGUAAUUUUUCGGACCGACCCGGCAUCCAAAACCAAAAUCUUGACCAUGGGUUUCGUUAUCCAAAACUAAAGAAACACAAACAGAGUGAUAAAGCGACGGCCAGUGCUACGUUGUUUCUUCUUAUUUCUGCCAAUUCGAAGUCUAGCUGAGAGUGAACAGACACAAAUUCGCCUAAGCCAUACUUAGAGCUCUAGCAAUUAAGCUGGCAACAACCGCUACAAGCAUUGCUUUGGACUACUGCUGCUUGAUAGUGCCGACUCCUAUUACUUGUGAAGAUGUUGACAUAAUGCCAUCACUGGCUUCUAAGAUUGCUGAUCUAAUCAACUGAGAGCGUUUUGAAUAGUCCCCGCUGUUGGCUGUUUCUGCUGUUGACUGAUUACUAGUGAUCUCAUAUGGUUGGCAGAAAACUCAAAAGAGGAGAGAAUACAGAAGCGGAUCGUGCCCUUUAAGUCACAUGUUGCUUUCUACCACAUCGUUUCAAACGAAGUUUUACUAUAAUAUUUCUCUAGUUUGGACUUGGUGUGUAAUUAAUAGUCAUUGCUUUGGUCAAUACACAGCCUCUUUUCCUUGUACAUGAAGGUAAUAUUUAGAUUGUUAUUCUUUCAUCCAGAAUAAGGACAUGAAAGAGCACGAUUUUUGUAUCUAUUAGAAUAGACCGAACAAUUUUUGUCAGAAGUAAUUAUGUAUAUUGACAGUAUAGCUGAACAGGUUGGGGAAAUAUAUAUCUGUUGAGAGAAGACUUGUUCUCGUAAGACAAAAAUUCUAGCCUCUAUGCUUGCAGCUGGAGGGGCCUCUGUUUCUGAACGGGGGAACUCUGUUUCAGCAGGCUUGCAUAGAAGGGUUGGAUUCGUUAAUGGGGCAAAUUGGACACAUGAUGAGGUGCAAAUUUAGGAAUAUUUUUGUCUCAUAUAAGAUAAAAAAUAUAUGCACGUAGCCGUUUACAAAGUGAUCAAUUCAUCACACACGAAACAAAUAAUUGAUCUGCAAGUCAUCGUAAUUCGUUUCAAUUUUCUAGCUGCGAGCUCACAACAUUCAAAUACUUCACAAAGUCUACAGAGUUAAUAAAUAAAUAUACGUGACAGACUUAUUCUCAGACCAUUUCAAUAUUGGCAAAUAAUAAGUCUCUAAUUUUUAUGAGUCUGCUCAUAAUUUCUUUUGUGUUGACCCUAUUCUCAGGUGAUUCGCUUGUACACUCCAUUGCUAAACUCAAAACAGAUGAUGCACAUGACUGCUUUGCAACAUUAGCGUGUUCUUCAUCUUCACUCAGUAGAUUUGCAUCCAUGAUAUCAAUCACCGCAGGUAACGAGUCGUUAACCCAACGCUUUAUGCUCAUUUCUCCAGUAAAAAAUUCGUUUGUGGGUUUCAUUCCUGUAAAUACUUCCAUCAACAUAAUCCCGUAGCUGUACACAUCACCUUUUAUUGAUACUUGUCCUUCUCUUCCAUACUCUAUAGAUUGCAUAAAUUAAAACA